CUAUCUUUCUAUCUGUGCCAGCUUAGACCUAGUGAAAAAAUCGGCGGAGUCGGCGGCCGAACCCACUGGAAACUAUAUUUAUAUAAUUUUCACCCCAUGUGAUUUUGGGGUACAGGUACACACAGGGGCGAGCCGAGCGAGGAUCGCAGCAAGGGCAUAACGCCCUGAGUGAGUUAGCUAGUAGCUUUCCUUUAUGCAUUAGAGUACCCUCGUGUACUAGAUACCAUAUAUAUUUGGGAUAGGCAUUGGAGAGCCAUGAUGUAUUUGGAAAAGAACAUGUAAUUACAUUUUGGAAGAUGAAAAUGUAAUGUAACCAAAUGAUGUAAAAAAGUUGAAUGGUUGUUGUUGAACCAAUACGGCGCAGACAGUUGGCACACCGAGUCCAUAUAUCGCUGGAUCGGGAGCACGGAAAACGCGCCAGGGGAUAUGAGCUGUGAUUAUUUGAAAAAUGAUAACCGUAAGCAGUUAUGGGCAGUUCCCAAUGGCAGUUCCAAUCGGCCGAACGUGGCCUUCCAAUCCGGAGAAGAUGGCCGAUCGUGCAAUAACUGAACACAAGGGGAAAAUAUAUAAAUAGGCCUGUAGUACCCUAAAAAGGGGUCUUNGGAGAGCCAUGAUGUAUUUGGAAAAGAACAUGUAAUUACAUUUUGGAAGAUGAAAAUGUAAUGUAACCAAAUGAUGUAAAAAAGUUGAAUGGUUGUAAUAGCUAGAUAUUUUUCUCUUUAUACACUUGUAUUUUACUUGUGAACGUUGACAUCGAUUCAUUCCAACAUUACACUCUCGGGGCUUAAUAGAACAAUAUAAUUAGGUUUUACUCUUUGUUCGAUUGAAUGAGAAAAAGUACUCGUUGCAAAGUUAUACUGUUAGGACAGAACUGAGUAGUCUAAUGUUGUUCCGGUUUUGGUUCUUGUGAACGUUGACAUCGAUUCGUUCUAAAUUUAUUCUCUUGGGGCAUAAUAGAACAAUAUAAUUAGCUUUUACUCUUUGUUCGAUAGAAUGAGAGAAAGUACUCGUUGCAAAUUUAUACUGUUAGGGCGCAAGUUAGUAGUCUAAUGUUGUUCCGGUUUUGGUUCUUGUGAACGUUGACAUCGAUUCAUUCCAAAUUUACACUCUCGGGGCAUAAUAGAAUAAUAUAAUUAGCUUUUACUCUUUGUUUCAGAUUGGAAAUCAUGUGCUCUUGAAAGUCUCGCCGACUCGAGGGAUUAGAAGAUUUGGAAUCCGGGGCAAGUUGAGCCCCCGAUUCAUUGGAUCAUAUGAGAUUUUGAAACGUGUAGGCCCGGUGGCAUACCGACUUGCUCUACCACCGAACCUAUCGGAUGUACACAACGUCUUUCAUGUAUCAAUCCUUCGGAAGUACAUUCAUGAUUCGGCUCAUGUGCUUAAUGCGAUGCCUUUGGAGCUGAGGGAGGAUUUGAGUUUCGAGGAGCAGCCUGUGAGGAUCUUAGCUUGUGAGGUGAAGAUGCUGCGAAACCGCGAGAUCCCCUACAUGAAGGUUCUUCGGAUCAAAUUUAAAUUUUAAUGUAAAAUAGAUGGAUAGAGCAUAUUGAUAUUCUGGCAAAAAUUUGGAUAAGUAUGAAUUUAUUUCUAUUCUAGAGAUAAAAAAAAAUUAAACAAAUUUUGAAUUAAAAUAUAGAUUCACAAUAGAUAUCUUUCGGUUGGCAAAAUUUGAAUAAGUAUAUAUAUUUUUUUAUUUUAGAGGUAAAGAUGAAUUAAAAGUUUGUUUUAUUAUGUUAUUUAUUUUAUGUAAGGAAAGAGGAAUCAAAUUUUUUCCCCUAAAAAUGGGUCUGCUGACAUAUCGAAAUUUGAAAUACGUGCUAGAUAGUAUAGAUAUUAUAUUACAGUUAGAGAUAAAAAGAAUUAAAUAAAAAUUUAUAGUAGAUAUUUUCAGAUUGGUAAAAAUUUGGAUAAGCAUAAAUUUUUUUCUGUUGUAGAAAUAAAGAGGAAAUAAAAGUUUGUUUAAUUCUAUUAUUUAUUUUACGAAAUACAUGCUUUUAUAUAUAGUAUAGAUAUAGAUAGGGGUGGCAAUCCAGCUCGCUGUUCGUGAGUCAGCUCGUGUUCGGCUCGAAAUGAGCUCGAGAUCGGCUCGCUCGUUUAGUAAAUGAGCCGAACACAAGCUAGAUUUUUCAGCUCGUUUAAUAAACGAGAACACGAGCUGGGGUCAGCUCGCUCGUGUUCGGCUCGAUAACAGCUCGAAUGCAUAUAUUUUAUAUUUAUAUACUUUAUUUAAUUUAUAUUUUAUAUAUAAAUAAAUAAUUUUAUUAAUAUAUAUUUUUUAUUAUUUAUUUGUUAGUAAAUAAACAUAUAAAUGCGAGCUAAUUAUAAAAAACUUAUUUAUAUGUCAAAGUUUCAAAUAUUAGAUCAAAGUCUAAUAGAUAAGAAUUAAUAACAUUUAUUUUUAUAUAUAUUUUCUAAUCUAAUUAUUUUAAUUUAUGGUUGUGUGGCCAGCUCGUGAGCCAACUCGUGUUUGGCUAUUAAUAAAACGAGCGGAACACGAGGCUGAAUUUUCGGCUCUCCCGGUACUUUAACGACCAGCUCUGUUCGGGUCGUUUACAUAAACGAGCGAACCACGAUGGACCCCGGCUCUCGGUUCGUGUUCGCGCAUCGUUUACACCUCUAGAUAUAGAUAGUAUAAAUAUAGAUAAUAAUAAUAAUAAUAAAAUAAUAAAUUAAGAUUCGAGUCGGGUUCAGAUCGAAUAAAAUACAAAAUUCAUAGCCCUAUCCACAUUUAUUAGAUUUUUCAGUUCGGAUUCCCAUCGAUCCUUCGAGACACCCGUACUCCCCUGCAGCUCCUCCCUCCCGAUCUCCUCCUUUCCCUUGUUCUCGAUCACCCAAGCCCUCGUCCUUACGAUCCCCAUGGACGGCGAGGGGGGCAGCGGCGGCGGAACCCUUUCGGAGAUCUACCAGAGCGCACGUCGCCUCCUCCUGCGCGCGAGGGAUGGGCUCGAGAGGCUCGAACGGCUCGAAUCCUCCUCCUUCUCCUCCUCCUCAUCGUCGCCCUCGCUCGGGGUCGGCGCCGAUUCGCCCGAGCUCGCCUUCGCCAUCAAGAGGGAUAUCGCCCAGAUCCGGUCACGCUGCGCCGAGAUGGAUCACCUCUGGCGAUCCGUCGCUGCCAAGGGCCAGCGGGAUCUCUGGAAGAGGUAACUGAUCUGGAAACCCUAGCCAUUUCAAACUUGAUUAGGUUUUGCUGCUAUGCUAUGCUAUGCUAUGCUAUUCAGUGGGUUGAUCUGGAGAUUUAUUUAUUUUUAUUUUUAAUUUAUUUUUUAAAUAAGGCAGAAUUGAAUUGAUGGGAAAUUAGGGGAUCGGGGGAAUGUUAUUAUGAUUUGAAGAAUGGUUUGCUCAUGAUUUGGUUUGAUCUCAAGAUCAGCGUUCUCACGAUUAUUAUCUAAUAAAUGUGCGUUUGCUGGUAACUCACCUCGUUCCUUCUUUCUUCGCCUAUGCUUAUUCCGUGUCGUAUAUCGAUUUUGUGUAGUUGUUGGCUCUUGAUUGUGAGGAAUGAGCCUGCGUCGAGCUGACGAAUUUGCUGGGAUCAAUUUCUCAAAUGUGGGUAAAAGAUGCAACCCGCCGAGAUAUUGCUGCUACAUAUUUUAUCCCUUUUUGUCCUUGUUAAUUUCAGUUGGUUUUCUUUCAUUAAUUCAAUUUGAAAUUUUUAUCCCAAUCAAACUAAAUUGGUGGGUAUCAGUAGUUGAAGAGAUUGUUGUCUCUGAUAUUUUUAUUAGUUAUGUUGCUUAUACAAGAGCCUAAUUUUAGACUCUCUCAUCUAAAAUAAUAGGAAUAAGAGAUUUUCUUCAUAUCUCAAAGUCAUUCUUAAAUAAAAAGAGUGAGAGAAUAUAAGAAGAAGAAUCUGUAUUUUAUAUUUCAAAAUAGGAAGUAGCAAAACUGAUAGAAGAAUCAAUUAGCAUAAAAAAUCUAGCCAACAGAAUAUGGGAUUAGAAAAAGAAUCAGCUUAAAAAUAUCCAGAGAAGAUAGAAAAAAACUUAAGUGAUGAAAAUGCACCAAUAAAAGAGGCAACAGUCAACUCAAAUCAAAGGAAAGCCUAAAUUUAAGUUCUAUAAUGUACUGAAAUAAAUUUUAAACUCGUAUUUUAGAGUUAGGAAAUCUGCAGUAAUUGGAGUAGAUGAAGAAAGUACGCUAAUCUUUAGGAGUAGCAAAAUUUGGAGAACAUCUAAAAUAAAAAGAAUAAAAGGAAUAAGAGAAUAUAAGAAGAAAAAGCAUCAACAUUUUACAUAUGAAAAAGGGAAAUAGUAGAACUAAGUAGUAGAGCUGAUAGAGGAAUUAGUCAGUAUGAAAUAUAGUCAACAAAAUAUGUAAUUAGAAAAAGAACCUUCUACAAUCUAGAGAAGAGACAAAAGACUAAGUGAUGAAGAUACACCAAUAGAAGAAGAAGCAACCAACUUAAAUCAAAGGGAACCCUUCCAAAAUUGGAAAUAACUAAUAUAUUGGUUCUUUUUUCUACAAAGGAUUUUCUUUAAAAAAUAUCUUUUCUUUCUUCAUUUUUGCCCACCUUACUUGUCACGUCCCGAGACCGCCAAUUUGGUCGGAUUGGUCCUGCACACAGACGCCAAACGAACAGAACCUCCUCUGUUCGCCUAAGGCUCAGCAACAACAACUAAACAUGUAUAAUGAAAUGCCCAGAAAAAUUUCCAGUAUAUAUGGCUUACACGAAGGUAAGCAACACAAGCAAAUGAAAGUAAACUAACUAAACCAUUCAUACAUUGUAACUUGAGUACUUUAAAUCAAAUACAAAGCUUACAUGUCACGCCCCGGAGACGGCAAGGCCCUCCCGGUAGCGCGCCCAGACCCGCCAUAUGUCUGCACAUAUAAGGCGUCUACAACAACAGCGGAAGAGAAGCGAGAGAUAAUCAACAACUAGAGAUAUCAAAGCAAGUGUAACAACUAAAUACUAACAACAAGAGAAGGAAGGUAAAGUAAUCCACUAAAAGUAAGCAUAAAGUAGUACAAUAAUCAUCUCCAAAAGGGUACAAUAAGGGGUGGUUUCUAUACAUGGGUGAAACUCUCAACCUUUCUAAAAUGAAAACAACGAGUGGUAGACCACCUAUAGACGCGUCCCUCGAAGCAGCUAACUCGAGGCAAUACCCUUUCCACGGUCCCUAGCCUCUCCCGGCGUGGAAGGCUCUGAAAUAAAACAUAAAAUAGAGAGCGUGAGAACUAUAAUUUAUAGUUCCUAGUGGGCAAUUACUGACCUCAGCUCAAUGCACCAUUAGGCUUCAAAAGAAAAGGGUAAGUACGAUAAGCAACAAUAGUAGUAAUAGAUGAUAAUAAACUGCAGAAUUGAAAGCAUGAGUGAAAUGCUAUGCCACAGGUAAACGUGAUGUAUAUCAAUGCUAUCAUGUUUGAAUAUGCCAAUGUCGGGUAAAUACGCUCAUCAGUUACCAAGUAUACUAAGAUGCGAUAAGUAAUCCUAUCAAGUAUACUACAUGUCCCAAUAUCUCAAAGCCACACUAUGAGUAUGUCCAAUAAUCCAACUGCUAUGAUCUAUUUAGCAGUGAUUCAAAUUUAAGAGGUUAUGUUCAAGUUCAAUCUUGUUUUGGAACUUACACGAGUGUAGUCCGGCUUGCGCCGCCUAAGUGUCGGUGGUAGCUCCAGCAUUUUCACUCUGGAAAUGAGCCUAUCCCUCCCGAUCCCAUAGGCUUCUCGAUACCGCACGAGCGAUCAUAAGUCGCGUAGGUCAACUCCGGAGUGCCGACUUGUAGGGAGCGACCCUCACAAGCAUGUGCGAAUGAGCACAAAUGGCAAACAAGCAAUAUCAUCGUCUCAAGUAUCCAAUCAUCAUGUCUCCAACAUGGUAAAAGUCACUUGUAACCCGAAGGUCUAGUUCUAUGUCUCAAUAUGAGGUUUAAUCGUUCAAUCAUUUCUAUGUCAAUGACCAUAGCUUUACUACGUCAAAUCCAAGCCCAAUGCCCCUUUUAUGACAUUAGCUUACUAAAUCACGCGUCAUGUACAUCUAUGUUCUUUGAUUUCAUUACAUUAUGCUAAGUCCAAAUUCAGUCCCAACACUAGUGCUGCUUUAUGACACUAGGUUUCACUUGUCCCAAUUACAUCACACGCCCAAUGCCCCUUUAUGACAUUGGCUCAAUAGUAAGCUAAUAGUGUAAGUUUCAAGUCUCUUCACGGCAUUAUGUAUGGUCCUAUGUCCAACAUGAGAGUUAUGUCUAAAUGCACAUUAUCCUUCUCAUUCUCACUAUAUAAAACAUGCUCUUGAGUCUUAUCUAGAAUGCUAAGCACAUGCAUAAGUCUCACAUGCCACUCUCUGCUACAUAGAGGUCCAAAAAUGUAUUAUAUACAAUGUAGGCAUUUUAAGCAUUCUAAAAUUCACAAUAAAUACAUUUAUCAUGGAAAUGCAUGAAUUUCUACUUUACGAAGUAUAGAACAUCGGAUAUGAGAAUUUCUCAUAUGCUAGGCUAGGUCAAACCCACCGAACUUCGCGCAACCCUUCGUUUGCUCCAACGAAGAUGUCCACUAAGCUCCUAACACCCUAGAAGCAUCAAAAAGUGAGCUACAAGAAGUAAACGAACAACUAUUAACUCAAUCAUUAACCAUCUAGGCAUAGAGGGCUAAACUCUCACCUAUAGUGUAGAAAUCCCUUCCCAAAGCUCAAAUGGAAGCUAGAUCUCUCCCAAAGCAACCUAAACCAAGGUUCUAAUCCAAAUAGAUUAGCACAAAAAGCCCUAAAUCAAAAAGCCCCAAUUUAACCCUAGAUUUUCCAUUCUAGGGUUUCAUCUCCCAAAAUCCACCAAAACUAGGUUUAGAGGGGAGGAACAAGCAACAAACCUCUUUAGAAGUUCCAAUCCAAGCUCCAAGAGUGAAGAUCUCCUCUCUUGCAAGCUCCAAAUCCAAGCCUCCAAGCAUCAACAAGGUGGGAAGAGAAGGAGAGGAAAAUGCUCCAAGUUCUCAAGCUAGAUCCUCCUCCUCUUCUUCUCCUUCUUCUUCUUCUCUUCCUUCUUCUCCGUCUCUAUCUAGGGUGUUGGGAGAAUGAGAGAAAGAGAAAUGAGAAAAGGGAGAGGGUGAAAUGGCCAUGUAGGCCAUCAAAUGUAACAAAAUCCAAAGAGGCCCCUCAAUUUCCCAAUAUUGCAUCAGCUCGGACUGGGCAGUUUUCGGACUGAGGGACCGGUCUCUCCGAUCUGGGACCGGCCUCUCGGCCUGCCCCGAAAAUCCAACGUUCGGGAAUCGGUCUCUCCCUGCAUGGGACCGGUCUCUCCCCGCAUGGACGCGCUCGGGGAUCGGUCUCAUCCGCCAAGGACCGGUUGCCUCAAGGCUGCCGCACUACUGUUCCGGGGGGACCGGUCUCUCCUAGCCAGGGACCGGUCCCUGAGAGUAAAAACUCUCAGGACUAGUCCAGAACUCAGGUUUUCGAACUUUUUAGGUCGGAAACAUUCUACGACCCUCCACCAAGUGUAGAAAAGCUUGAAACACAUCCAACCACUCGAACCUCGCAAUUUGCACAGGUCCGUGUGCUACAUUACAGGUUAUGCAUUCACACAUUUACAUUGCCAUCUCUCAAUGAAUAACUUACAUUUCCUUUCAUCAACUAUAAACAGAUGAAAUAUACAAGGUAUAGCUAUACUCAAUAGAUGUUGCUAUCUAUAGCGCGUUGUCUCUGUCACGAUCCUCAAUCACCCCGCACGAGCUAGAACCUGCAUGGUUAGUGGGGUGAGAACUACUAAAAAUUUCCAGUGGGUUCGGCUGCCGACCUCGCCGACUCACCUACUAAGUUUACUCAGGCAUAUAUAGGCAAAGAAAAGAACAGAUAGUAACCAACUAUAACAUGUAAUUACUACAAUACCUGUACAAAGCUGAAAGGAACAAUAUAUAUAACAGAUGAAAAUUAUGCAUGCAUGCUAUUAAUAACCAUUACCCAAUCAAUCUGGUUAACCAUUUGGUUAACUAUAACUUACCAACUCAAUCACUUUUGUCGGGCCCUAAGCUGCCUCCCGAUGGGACCGUCUACUGGGAAGACUUAUACGAUCAACCGAGUUGAUGACACACUCCGGAGCUCAUCGCCCAAGGAGGAGAGACCUUACCUUGAGCAUUAGACUAAUGUGAGUAUGAUCCAAUCCUCACUUAGAGGAUGCACUGACAAUGCCACACUUUGACUAGCUCUUUAUGCUAGAUUUACAUGUCCAACUCUAGAUGCUAAUCAGUUCAUCUAGUUUUAAUGCCACACAUUUUACAAGUUCAUACAUCUAUAGGGUUCUAUGUUUACUAACCAUUGUCCAACUGUACUUUGCUUUCAAGGUAUACAAAUAGACCACAUGUCAAUCUAAUCACAUAUCAAGCUCAAUCCUAUAAUGCAUGAAUUUCAACUAAACAUAUACAAUCCAUAUAUGCUCAAGAAAAGUGGCGUAAACAUAAUAGGUCAUUCGAUGACUUCGGAAAGCACCACCCACCUUUAAUUAAUGCCGGAGUGCGAGAAAUCCACUUCCCGCACUUUAUGAACCAUCACGACCCUCGCUCGCGGUAAACGAAGCUAAAAUGAGGUUUUCCUCACUAGCUUGCCGUAGGCUCAUCGAAACGCCGAUCUGAGCUUUCCAACGCGUCAGUUUUACCCUCUAUUAGGUUUUCACGCGAUCAAUUCCAACCUAGAGCCUCAAUCUUGCAAAAUUGCAUUUCUAAUUUUAGGCCUCACAUAACUGUUACUACACCACUCUACAACAACAUAUAAAGUAACUCAACUUUAACUAGUCCAAGAACCUCAAAACUAACAGUUUAGAGGAUUUACCACAACCCUCAACAAAAACCUGCAUGCUGGUUCAUCACAAUUCCCAGCAGCCUAGCUUACAUAUAACAUACGUAUAGUUUCAUUAUUAGGUUCCCUAACAACUUUAACUCAUAUACAUAUUGUUAACUCCCUGGUUUACACAGCAUCCAGGAAUUCCAAUUCAAACUCCUUUUCGAUAAAUAAUUACUCCAACUUACCAUAGAACUAGCAACUUAAAUUCUAUAUGCUAUCAACUUAGCAUAAUUUCUAGAUUUCCAUAGCAUUCAAGAUGCUUUAGCAAUCAAGAUUUAUAAUUUAAACUUCUUUAGAGUGUAACUAGCUUAAAUCCCAGCUGAGAAACAACUUCUUACCUCAAUUCCUAAACUUCCUCCGCUAGUUUCCUGCUCCAAAAGCUUUCUUCUCAGCUCCAACAGCAAGAAAUCUGCUUCGAAAUUCUUCUCUACCAAGCUUUUCCUCACAGCCACUACAAGCUGAGAAUUAGCAAUUCUAUUGCUUACAACUCUCUCUAAAGCAAUUCUAAAUGUUAGCUACCAAUAAUUCAUAGCCCAAACACCUCUCUAUGUUAAAUACCAUAACACAAAACAGGGAAUAAGAUCAAUCUAUCCCUGAUUGCAUUUCUAAUCCAUAUCCCAGAACAUCAUGUUCACAAAGCAGUUUUUUUAUGCUUCUACGAGCUUUCACAGCUAUAAAACCCCAAAUUAACCUCUUUCCAAUGUAAAGAACUAAACCCUAAUCAUAACUUGAUUAAGUUUACCUUAAUUCGAUGCUCCAACAGCUAGCUUCCCUGCUCUAAAGCCUUCUCUUCAGCUCAAAACACCAAAAUCUGCACUUCUCCAACUUCUUCUUCACCAACUUGCUUCUAGGGUUGAGAGAGAAAGAGAGGGCGAAAUAGAUAAGAAGAAGGCUGUAGGAAGGAGCCCCUGGUACGUGGGCACCUGUAAAAUACCUGGGUUAAAGAGAUAAGACUGGAAUUUUACAACUUAACCCCCUAAAUAGCCAAAAGUGCAUUGCAGUCCAGCAAAUUUCGCAUGCUGGUACCGGUACUGGCUGAGGUACUCAAUGUAAAAUUCUGCACUAGCAGCAGCCUGGCAGCAGCAGCAAUUGGAGGCCUUUUUGCGCGUCUAGUUCACUCCGAAUCCAUCUAAGUACCUCCAAAACAUGCCAAACACUAUCCCCAAGCUAUCAAUUUAGUUUGGGAAUACCACAUUUACAUUAUUGCUUCUCUUUGAGCAAUUGAAUCCAAGUUAACCUUGUCAACCAAAACUCUCUUCUAAUUUCGUUUCGCGCCCGAUUUGCAUCAAACACUCAAUUACCUCCAGAAAUCAUUCCCACACCUCCAAAAUCACUCGGGAAUGAUGCACAUCCAAUUUAAACUUCACUUUGAUCUUCCAGAUCAAAGUUAGCAUCGCAACUCAAAAUUUUCAGUAUAUUACAUUACUAAUCAAGUGUAAAAACUGAAUGGAUAAGAAGAAGUAGAGAAUAUAAUAGAUAGCAAAAGAACACCCAAUUUAAAGAUGAAAAAGAAAAAAGAAAGCAGCAACAACAUGAACGUGACCGACAACAUGAACAACAACAUUAUUUUAUUGUGUAGUAGAUGGAACAUAUCAAUAGUAUGAACAAUGCAGACAAUGUAAACAACAAUCCAGCAACAAUAGACUUAGUUGCAAUUUCCUUUUCUUCAUAAUUUUAUUAAAAGGACUAUCACCAACACAAAGAAGGGCAAAACAACAAAGAAAGACACCUAAACAUGUGACAGAAUUCAAGCCUAAACGUAGACAAAGACUAUUUCUGAAAUUCGAGAUGCAAAACCAACCUAAUAACAUACUUAGUAGGUCGGGAAAAAAAAGAGAGAACAAAUUGUAUCCAAUAAUCUUCGUCAAACGGGAGAAAGGCUAGAUCUUGUAAUAACUAGGAGGCGUUUCCGGAUCAUCACUAGUUGUUGCUGUUGUUUCUACAGUACCUGAUGUUGCCGGAUGUCCAGUGGGUUCUUCUUCCAUCGGAUCAACAUUAGGGGGAUCAAUGAAAGCGCAGCAUCAAUACUUUCCUUAAUUUCCUUCAAGGCAGUGACAAUUUAUUUAUUUUUCUUCAAUUAAAAAAUUAUAAGACUUUUUGAGAAGAUCAGAGUUCAAAUUAAACAUUUCGUACUCAUUUUGGAGUUCCAAAUGCUCAUCAUAAAUACGAUCAUGUAAGUUCUUAUAAUAUUUCUUGUUCUCAAAAUUAACAUCUCUAACUUUAAAUCCCAAUUCUUUACGAAGCCUCCUAAUAGCUGCACAUGCGGCAUCUCUUUAGCUUGAUUCGACUCAGAAAUUGAAGCACCAUAACAUGUAAUUAUCUUCAUAAAUCGGCUACUUCUGGGUACUUCCACAUCAACAUAAGAACAGAAUCAACAAUCAGCAUCUAUAGUCAUGCGGUAUCUCGGGGGAGGUAAGGAAAUUUGCAAACAGAUAUUACGAAGCAACCGGCGAAAGCUGAUGUCGACAUUUAUGGAAGAAUCCAUCUCUGCAAGAAAAUGCAAGUUGCCGAAAAUUACACGGUGACCGUAUAUUUUAGCAUAGACUUGUCUUUCAAUUUAGUUAAUAAAUACAUUAUCUAUCAAUUUAUACAUAUUUGGAGAUAUACUUACAGGCAAUAAAUUUAUAAUUAAAAAAAGCACAUGAAGAGAUGCAAUAGUUAUUUAAAUUGUAAAUAUAUUUUUGAAACAAAACACAAAUUGCUGAAAAUUACUUACAAUAACAGGGAAGCAAUGCAGAAGCAAACAAAUGUAGAACGACAAUGCAAAUCACCGUCACUUUCCUGAGGGAAAAAAAGUUAUGUUAAUUAAAAAAUAGUUAAUGUCGGCUAGGAUUACGGGUAGAUAAAAUUAAAAAAUAAAAAUAGUAUAAAAAUUUUAUAGCUUACGGGAGAAAAAGGAUUGGGUUAUCAGAUACAGGAAAAAAUGGAUGUCAUAUGUGUUAUUGUAUAGCCGAAUGGACAUGUGUUAGGGUAUAGGAAGCUCUGCUGCGAAACGCUUCACCCAUAGUGGAUUAAUCCAAAAUCGAAAACGGCGACGAAGGAAGACGAAAAGACGAUGAAAGAAGCGGCGGUGAGGGGAGAAAUCCAUCGUUUGAUUCCGGCACCACAAACAGCUAGAAUAGAAGAAGAAACGGUGAUAGAAGAAGCGGUGGCAAGGAAAAGGAUCCAUUGUGCCCAAGGAAGAGGAAAAGGGAUGGUUCGGCCGGAACGUAACAGCCUAAGGAAGAGGAAAGGUCUGACUCGGUUUGGUUCAUGCAAGGAAAGAGUGAACCAGGUUAGGUUCAAGCAAAGAAAAAAAAAAUUGAGCCGAUUCGAGCAGGUUCACCCGGUUUGGUUCAAAAAUAAGAAAGAGGGAACCUGGUUCGAUUCAAGCAAAGAAGAGGGAACCUGGUUCGGUUCAAACAAACAAAGAGAAAAACUUGAGUUGGUUUGGGCACAUUAACCUAGUUCAAUGAAAGAAAGAUAGAAAUACAUAGAGGACUUGAGCCGGUUCGGGUUGGCACCAACACUAAACAAUCCGGUUCGGUUUAAGGAAAAAAAGAUAGAAACAUGUGAAGGACUUGAGCCGGUUCGGGUUGGUGCCCACACUUAGCAAAUCCGGUCCGGUUCAAGCGAAGAAAGGACAUGCUGCCACGUGGCAAAUUUAAGGGAAAUAAUGAUAAGAAAGAAAGAUAGAAAUACAUAGAGGACUUAAGCCGGUUCGGGUUGGCACCUACACUAAGCAGGACUUAAGCCAGUUCGGGUUGGCACCUACGCUAAGCAGGACUUAAGCCGGUUCGGGUUGGCACCUACACUAAGCAAUCUGGUUCGGUUCAAGAAAAAAAGAUAGAAACAUGUGAAGGACUUGAGCCGGUUCGGGUUGGUGCCCACGCUCAACAAAUCCGGUUCGGUUCAAGCAAAGAAAGGAUAUGCUACCACUGGCAAGUUUAAGAAAAAUAAUGAUAAGGAAUAGAUUGUUCUAAUUAAAGAUGUAUGCGUUGAGAAAAGUUCACUAACAUAAUUAAGGUUCCGUGGAAGUUGAUUUCUCUUAUUUAUGAUUGUUUUUCUGGAUUAUCCCUUUAAAUAUAAUGAUUUUGUGUAGUCCUUGGUUCUUACUUGUGAGGCAUUCAUUGUGCAGAGUGAACAAAUUCGGAUGGAAUUCGAUUCUUGAAUGCAUGAAAAAAACUGUAAGCCUGGAGGCUGGAGCCAGAACAUGGCUUUUUAGAAUGGCUGAAAUUACAUGAUUAGUCAUGGUAAUUUGAUCAAAAUUUUCCACUCGUCCACAUCAACUCGUUGUACCUUUGUUGAGAACAAAGAAAAUUUGAACCCUUUUUUUUUUAUCUUAUCAUAAUUGAAAUGACUAAUAUCAAAAGAAUGACAAAUGAGAACCGAUGAUCAUUUGCUCUGAGAAAAAUUUUGUUGAUUUUUAGAAAUUUUUAGAAAUGUUCCUUGAUUUAGUAAAGCAUUUGAAAAUUUUAAGACAUAAAAUUUAGUGUUUUGAUCUUGCGUGUAUUGAUUAGUGGUAGGGGUUGUGAGAUAAUUAUUCAGUAUUACGGUGCUGUACGACUCAUGUGUGGUAAAAUAAGCCAUGUAUAAGUCUUGUUAAUGUAUAACGACUGAUGGUUCUUGCGCAUUUGAGAUGUAGUGCAUGCACUUUUGAUACGUUAUAUGAUCAAUGCACUAAGCUGCUCUAUCAUUAUCUGGGUUUUGAGUGCAGUUCAACUAAUUUUUGCUCAAAGUAGGUUUUCUUCAACCAAAUGGAGAGAAUGUUAAGGACGCUUUAGUUGUGAUUAGCAGGAAAAAACAAGGAAAAGAAAAAGAGAGACAGGUUGCCGCACACUAUUUAACUCGUUUUCUUUGCUUUGUAAUUAGAUAUGCACAAUACUGUUCGUGCUCUUUGGCAAGCAUCUAACAAAUUUUGAGGCUUUUUGCAUUUUGCUGUAAACCAAUGCCUAUAAUCUAAAACACUACGUACUGAUCCAAGUACUAGCUUAUCAAAUAAUAUGUGCUCAACUUUGUCUAUCUCCUUUUGCCUAUAGUUGGAUUAUCUUUAUUAAGGCCGUACUAACAGCAGUGACAGGUAUUCUGUAUUAUGGGAAAUUAUUUUGGGCAUGUUGACACUGUAUAUUCUAAUUGGUAGCAUCUAUAGCCUUCUGUCCUCUCCUGAAAAUCACAAAGUGCAAUCAGCCUGAAUCUACAUUAUCUGUCACUAAGUCGUGGUAUAAACUAUUUUGCAUUUUGUGUUACAUUCCUUACGCCUACUUUGUUCUCCCAUUAUCAUGUUCCACCUUUUGACGAACUCAAAAUUAAAUGUGAAAAUAACAUUCCUUCUUGGUGGACUUUCAUAUUGCUUAAACUGUACUUUGCUGGAGCUUAUGGAUUAUUUCUCUUCUUUAGCCUGUGGGACCCAUGCUUCUUAGUGCUCUCCUUAAAAUUGGUUCUAUUCUUAUCAUUUAACCGGUUUGUUGUUUCCGCUAUCGUCGCUUCGGAUUCUAUGGGCCCUGAGCGCGGAGGUUCCUUCUCCUUUCCCGACCAUUUCCUCUCUUCGCCGCCUUGGUUUCUUGCAUCUGUUGAAGUCGAAGAGUUGUUCUAUGCCAUUUCUCCUACCUGCCUUUGCGUAUGUAAUUCAGUCUCGCUUCCGCGAUCUCUGCUCCUCUAUAUAAGGUGGAGAGGGAAGGGAGACAUCCUUAGGCGUAGUCUAAAACCCUAGUGCCACCCUUCCUCGCGAUCAGUGACGGCGCCUCUUGGCUCUCUCUCCCUCUUUGUGAUCUGAUUAAGGUUCGGUUGAGCUACUUGAGGGCUCACAGUGCGAUUUGGGGCGUCUUGUGGGGAUCGGAUCGCUUUAUCCCUCAAACUUUUAGGUAAGUUUUGCAAAUUUAGCUGAAGAAUCUCACUUGAAGAACAUUUUUUUUCCUCUCUUUAUGAUCCUUUUGAGGUUUAUGUUGCUAUAAUUUUGGGUUUGGAGCUUGAAUCCUUUGGCAUCGAUCUGAUCGGUUUUUCUUUUUUUAUUUUGUGCAAACUAUAAAUUAAUUUGUCCACAAGUUUAAUACCCUAUGAAGAAUCUGACAUCAAGGAGCUGUUAAUGUGCUCUUCUAGCAUAUUCGUGGAUCAAAAGAUAGAGUUUUGGUGCUAUUAUUGAUGGUAUUAUGUCUUUUUGAUGCAAUUUAAUUGUAAAUAAGUGCAAUUUCAAAGGAUGCAUGUAUGAAUACAUUCCUAUAAACUUGCAUAGAUAUAGAUAUAAACUUCUCUACACUUCUUUAGUUAUUUAGNCCGAAUUAGUUUAUCGAAACCAUGUGCAGUCAACACAACAGAUAACCACAUAAAAACACAUAAUAAAUAAAUAAAUGAUUAACUAAAUAACUAAAUAAGUGCAAUUUCAAAGGAUGCAUGUAUGAAUACAUUCCUAUAAACUUGCAUAGAUAUAGAUAUAAACUUCUCUACACUUCUUUAGUUAUUUAGUUAAUCAUUUAUUUAUUUAUUAUGUGUUUUUAUGUGGUUAUCUGUUGUGUUGACUGCACAUGGUUUCGAUAAACUAAUUCGGUAUCAAGUAUUUACUGAUUGAAUGUUUAGUAGAGAAAACAAAUAUGAAUUUUUGAUGGGUGUCCAAAAUUUUUGUUGUGUUGAAUGUACAGAGUUUUGGGAUUUGGAAAAAUAUGUUUAAGCGUUAUUGAAGAACGGAUCUUUGUUAUUUUAUUGUUCAGCUACUGGUUUGUAUGUGUUUGAUGAAAUGCCGAUUUGAAACUUAAUUCAAUAUAAAGAAAAUGCCUAUAUUUUUCCGCAUCCUUACAUUUUGAUUUUUUUAUUUUAUAGCAUGAAGAGGUGGUGAUAAAUUAUAUAAUCAGAUUAUCUGAAAAUUAAAAUACGGAUUAUGCGGUAAAUAGUUGAAUUUCCUUUUAAUUGGGCACCUCCUGUUAUUUUCUUUGAGUUAUUUAAAGUUCCAUAUCAGGAAUUGAAUAGCAAGAAAAGGUUGGAUGCAACCAACACUAUUAUUUAAGGUAGUUUGGAUGCAGGUGCUGUGGACAUUCAUUCUUGAAUGGAAUUUAUUUAAGCAUUGGUAAGAGAGGAUAAAUUGAUCUUUUGUAGGGUGGGUGGCAUUGGAUUAAGUUGAUAUUUUAUAGGGUGGGUAGCAUGCGAUUAUUUUCUUUGCAGUCGCCAUAAUAAAAUGAGUGCUACUUAGGUUGAGCGAUAUGUUGAUUAUUAAAACAAAAUGGUGGACUUGGAGAUAGCAAGGAAUUUGAAAAUCAUCUAUCAUCAUUUCUAAACAUGUAAUUGGUUCUGAUUGGUUGGCCCAAUUUGAAACCUUGAUGAGUCCGUAUAUUUGUAUACUGGAGCUAAUUCGACUAUACGCUGAAAUAAGAAAAACUUACUAUGAUGGUGGUUCGCAUUAAGAUUGGUUGGAUGGCAUCAUUCAUGUCAAAUGCAGCACUAUGCAGUAAACUGAGGACCGUAUCACCUGAGCCGUUCUCAUAUUCAAAUGCUCAGAUUUGUUGAAGCCAUCGGAACUAAUUAGAUGCUUGAAAUUAUUAAUGAACUACCAAUUUUUAUCUAUGGUUGAAUUGAAUGUGUGGAAAUAGUGAGCGAUGAUAUUAUAGGCUGAUUCGAAUUUGAUCAGGACAUUAGGGAAUUAGAAUUGCUAUUUGUUUGCUGGUGUUAAUAGAGUGUAGACGAUUCAGUAAGUACUUACACUACAUUAGUACUUUGUUAAAAACAGCUUCACUUUCUUUUUUCACACCGCCGUAGUAUAUACAAAUCAAAGAAGAUUUUGCUAACAAAAAGUGUUAUUUUAGAGUAAUUACUUUGUGGUUUUCCAUUCUACUGUUUUAGUAUAAGCUUUGAUCACAAGAAAAAAGAAAAGAAUUUUAUGCUCCAAUGCGAUUUUCCAGUAUAUGUUGCUUUUGAAUUUUUUUAGUUUUCUCUCCCCUUUUUUUGUGUACUUUGAAACUUUUUCAAUGUGUGGAGGUCCUGGCAUUAUUUUCUACCCUAUCUAUUUCUUUGUGCUGGAGUAUUCUUUUAGUUGUUGGUUAUUUGACUAUUACUUCACUGUUUGAGAAUUUCUUGCCUUUCUCCAUAAUUUGAUUGAUACUUUUUUGUGGCUGGGUAUUAAACGAUCAUAAUUUGCCUAUUUCUAAAAGAAAUUUUUUUCGUCGCGCCUUAAGCUCCCUUCUUAUAACUAUCGCUUCAUAUAUUUAACUAAACCUCACUGUCUAUUACUUCAUUUUCUUACUACCUAAGAGUUUUUUUCAGUUAUUUUGAAAGAUUGAAUAAUAAGGUUCUCACACGAUGUUGGUGAUGCCAAUGUGUGCAUUCUUGAUUUUUCUUUGAUUUGCUCUUUAAGUUUCAUAUGGAUGGAUACUUUUUUCUAUGCCUUUUUGAUAUUAUUUUAUUUAUUAUUGAUCUUCUGUUGUUAAAUUUUGAUUUAAAAAAUAUUUAUUUUCUUCAUCAAUGAUGCAAAUCAGUAUUUGACCGUAUACUCUAUUGUUUGUAUUUUCUUUUUUUUCCUGAAAUUCAUGUUCCUCAUUUGAUAGUUACAGGAUUGCUUUUUAUAUAUUUGAUGAAUUGUUAUUGCAAGCUUUCUUCUCUAGACUAUCGUCAAUAAUACAUGAUGAUAAAAAAAAAAAUUGCUUCAACAUUAAUAUCUAUCCGCUGCAUCGUGCUGGUACUAAACUAGUAUGUACUUAUUGCCGUAGUCUUUACCAUCUAAGCUUCCUUAUCCCUAAAUACGUAAUGCAGGGCUAGAGGCUUUUUAGAAGCUCUGACCAGAAACAGCAAAGAUUUGAUAAUUCUUUACAUAUUAUGACUAAUCCUUGACAUAUUAUAUGUCAUUACAGAAAACUGGAACAGCUAGCAGAAGAGGUUGACUCGCUGAAGGAGAGUCUUGACAAGCAUUUAAUGCGCCAACAAAAGCGAAUGGUCGAAGCUAAAGAAAGGGCAGAGUUACUGGAAAGAGCAGUAAGAAUUCCUUGAUUUGGAAUAUAAAAAAGAAGUUUUAAUAUCAGUUAUUUUUUUCCACCUGCAUAGUUGUUGGUCCUCUAUGAAAUAAGGAUAAUUUGGCUUGCUGUUUUAAUGGAAUAUUAGAGGUUAUAUGUAUGAUUGAUUGCAAUGAAUGGAUUCAACAUGGUUGUUGCAGAAUGGGGACUCCUCUCACGUUCUGAGGAUAUUUGAUGAGGAAGCACAAGCAAUGCAAUCAGCUCGAAACUCCUCCAUAAUGCUUGAGGAAGCUUAUGCCACUGGAGUGGCUAUUCUAUCGAAGUAUGCCGACCAGAGGGACCGCUUGAAGGUAAUUACUGAUCACCUACUUGUAUGAGACAUUCUCAAAAUCAGAGAUCAGCAUGAAUUUAAUCGACUUGAGCUUAUCUGAGACCAAAUAUAAUCAAUUUGCAAGUUAGGUCCCAUGUGGAAAAAAUAGGGCCUGUUUGAAUGCAUUGAUAUCUUGUUUAAUGUGCUUCUUUCAUUUCCUUUAGCUGGCAUGUCGUAAUUGGUUGAUGCGGUGUUGUACUAAUGUCUACCGCAGUAUAAUAUAACUUACCUUUAAAUGAUUAAUAUGAUAAAUCACAUAACAGGUGGUACUUGCUAUGUGGAAAAGAUGGAAGAAUCAAAUAUUUCAUGAUAGUUAAGAAUGUAACUCGAAAGUGGUGAUCACAAAAGAAAAACAAAAAAUCACCAUACUACACCAGAUCUCAAUUGGAUGACAUGUUGUGGCAUCCAAAUAGACCCAAGUGUCGAAAUAAGUUUGAACGUCGAGUUCUCCUUGGACUACUAGAUGUUCUUUUCUUUACUGAUAACUGAUUUCUGUGUCUGCAGAGAGCACAAAGGAAAGCGUUGGACAUCCUUAAUACGGUGGGUCUGUCUAAUUCUGUCUUAAAGCUUAUUGAGAGGCGUCAUCGUGUAGACAAAUGGAUUGCUUAUGCCGGUAUGAUCAUUACGAUUGUGGUGGUAUAUGCAUUUUGGAGGUGGACACAUUGACUGUAAUUAUUAGUGUGAUAUCUGAGAGAACCAGCAAACAAUUGUUACUGAGGAUGGUACUCGGAAUAUUCAUUUGGACUUUCCAUUGGCCGAUUGUUGAAGUUGUAUCUUCGCAAAACUAGUCUUUAUAUGUAGGUUUUUAUCAUUUUUUUUUUGAAAAGGGUGACAUUGUAUAUGUUUGUGACCUUUUUCUUUGGGUUUUCUAGUGCAAUAGUCUUCUCCUAAAAUUUUAUUUUAAAAAUAGAUCUGUUUAAUUUUUAUUUAUAAAUAUGGUUAAAAGCGGUGAACUAUUCACCACAUUCUUUUUUUUUCUCACUUCUCAUUAUAUUUCUAUGAUAGUAAAAGCGGUGAAUGGUUCACCACUUUUAUUCUUUUUCUACUCCCAAUGAGGAGUUAUGAAUGCGGUGAAUCAUUCACCGCAUUUAGAGAUCUAUUUUUAUAAUUAAUUUUUAAAAAAAAUUUAUUUUUAUAAUUAUAAAAAUCAAUAGGAUUAUUUAUAAAAUUUUUUUUUUCCUUUUCCUUUUUCCCUUCCCUAGAGUAGGAAUUGGAUUGUAGACUUGCAACAUGCUAUUUGGGACUUACUAUUUAUUUGCACGGCAUGUGCAAGUUGGUUGAAGAUGUUGGGAAUCACCGUUGUAGCAAAGCAAAAGCGAAACGCAAAAGUCUAGACCUUACACCAUUAAGAAAGACAAGCAUGUAAGCAGCAGAGCGGGGAAGACAGCAGAUUUGUUGUUCCAAAUGUUUAAUCUUGUUUUUAUUUCAGUCAAGUUUCCAUCGAAUAUUGGACAUCAAUUAGUCUCGCACGGACCUGUAACAAUUGUAAAUAAUAAUUUUUUAAAAAAGCAGUGUCGACAACAAUUGUUGGAGAAGAAAAAAAUAGAAGUUACAUAGGUUGAUUCAGUAGAUAUAUACAGGUUGCUUCAGUAGAAAAAAAAGCAGUGUCGACAACAAGUCAUAAUUCUCAUCCGCUUUUAUGUUAUCUUUUCAUACAGGUGAUGUAUUCGAUGAUGAAGAGCAAAUAAUGGGGCAAAUCAACACUAACGUAGAAGUUAAAUAUCCCUAAAUUUUGUUAAUAACGUGUUUGAGGUGAAAAAAAAAAAUUAAAAAUGAUGAAUAGAAUGUUGAACUUGUAGAAUAUUAUUUUUGAUGUGUGUAUUAAGUAAACCUUAUAUAAAUAGUAUAAUAAUAAAAUGUUGUAUUGUUAUGUAAGCUUUAUUUUACUCAAAAAAGGAAGCAGAAUACUAUAGGAAUGUUGUCAAGAUAUUGUAUUUCGUUUGUCAUGUAAUAUUAUAUAAAUUAUAACUAUUACAUGCUGCUUCUAAUUCUGACACUUUACAUGUACGAAAAAAAUUUUGUCCAUGAAUUGGAUCUGUUACUCACCUAGUUGGGGCUUCAGCACGUCUAACGACAAGAAGAAGCAACGUGAAGCUGAAAAUAAUGUUGUCCCCACUUUUGAAAUGGUCGGCCCUUGAACAAUCAAUUGGACCAGCUAGAAACACUGAACAAGAUUGUUCUGGAAGUGGCAUUCUAGUGGUAUUACUCGCUUGAAGACGAAUCCAUCAAAAUUAAAGACUACAUGGAAGAAGCUUUUCUAGCUGAGUUCACUACAGUUGACGAUAAAAUCAAAAUAGCUACCCUAGUCGCUACCAAAAAGGACAAAGGCAAAUCAAUAUCAGACUAUUAUACAAAGGUAACAAAAUUUUAGUCUCAAAUGUCAAUGUUUUGCCGUAGAACCGUUAUUUAAUAAGUGAACUACGUGCAGUGAGUGGAUUAAUUUUGCUUACAAUGGAGUGCUGUGUCCGCGCACUAUAAUAAAUAGAUUGUAACAAUUUAUACUACAGGAGGAAUCAAACAGCAGAAUCCACCAUUCAAUGGUCACCUGCUUCAACAUAGAAAUUCGAUGAAAAGAGACAUUUGCAAACAGAAUACAAAAGACACAACAUAAAAGCUGGUCCCAAAAGGUAGAACUAUAGAAGCUACAGGGCCAAAAUUACACUACCCAGUACAGAGGAGCACCCCCAGUUCAAUUUGCAGCAGCCAUCACAAAAUAAGACGCCAUAAAGUAUAGAGUUUAUUCAAACUGGAGUCCUUAUAGCAGCAUUCAACAAACACCAACACCAAAAAGAAAACAACCGACUCAACAGCGCAAGAUCGAAACAGAACACAACUAAAGCUUGUAGACUGCUAACAUAGCAGGACACUAUAACCUAAUACACUGCCCAGAGCAAGACAUAGAGACAUAGUAACAGUAGUAAAAGACUUAAUACACUCCCAAGAGCAAGACAUAGCAGUAGUAUUAAUAGGAAUAGUAGUAGUAGAAGUUGACAAAUAUAUGCAAUCAUAUCACUCUUCCUCCUCAGACUCUGCCGUCUGUAGCCACUCAACAAAGGGCUUCACAUUCUUCAGCACCUGAGAGCUCUUGCCGCCAGCUGUCCCUUCCUCAUACCACUGUGCUAUGCUUUCUUCCUCCAGAACAUCCGCAUCAUAAAGUGCUUUGAGAACGAGUGCCACCUCCUUCAGGGCUUCUGCGCGGCACUUGCCACAAAAUACUUCGAUAGCUUGGAGCAAAAGCAGCUGAGAUGCCUCAUCCUGCACAAAAGCAGCAAUGUACUUCCUUUUCUUGCCCACCUCCUUUGCAAAUCCUUUGCCAACACCUCCAAAAAGAGCCUCAAAAAGGGCUGUCAUUACGUCCCGAGAAGGCUGACCUGCUGUACCCAGAAAACUCUGAAGCUGGUUUGGGGUAGAACCCUUGUUUAUAUGAUCCUUGAUCUCCCGAAGCAGUGAAUCAUAAGCACUGAUAUUGGCUUUGUCACCAUUUUGGGUAGCACAAGAUUUUUCUUCAUCUUUGAUCUUUCCAUUAGUGAGCCCCUCUUUCUUUGCCUUCUCUUGCUUUUUGUUAUCCUGCUCAGGCUCAGUGGCGGAGAGCAUCACCAUCUCCGAAGUCACAGCAUUAAGCUGUUCUUGAAUCCGCUGCUUUGCUGCCUCCAGUGAGGUGUCGGUUUGCCACUGGACAUCAUCAUCAUCAUGGUCAUCAUUAUCACCAGCAGCAUUAUCACCAUCUUGACUCUCAACAGGCGAAGCCGAACGAUCCUCAUCAGAACCACCACCAUUAGCUUUCUUCUUCGAAACACCAGCUUUUGCACCAGAGGCUUCCUUGGAAGAAGCACCACCUUUCUUCUUCACAUCCUUUUUCAGCUUCUUCUGCUCCUCAUCAGCAGCCUCCCCUUCCUUGAGCCGUUCCUUCUCAGCCCUCCUCAUUGCCUUCUUAUUAUCUUUUCCUCCCUUCUUUUGCUCAGGUGGGUUCUUAAGAAUGAAGGUUGUGAGCUUAUCCCUCAUAUCAACAUCAGACACAUACCCACAGGCAGCACAUUUCAGGGUAAUCAUCUGAGUCUUAGUGAUCACAAUUUCAGUCUCAGGGUUGCCACAUCCGUAGCACUGCACGUACUUCUUGAUGAAGUUCUCGAGAAGGCCAGCCAGCUUGGCAGUGUCAUGGGCUCCAUUCACUAGGGAAGUGCCAUUCUUCUCAUCGAACUUCGACUGCGCACCAAGCUCACAGCCAAAGUACUUGGUGGUGUAAGAGGCUGGCCUGGCUAGUGCUUUUGCAAUGUCCACCAUGUUCACAAUGUUGGUCUUGAUACCGUUUCCUCGGCCUUCAAUCUUCGUUACCAUCUUGGGCAUCUUGUACCUAUAAAAGGCAUCAUCGCUGUUCGAAGCACCAAUAUUUUGCAAAGCCAUAUUUGCUUCCUUCUUAGAGAAUGAGAAACUUGACACUAUAUAGGCAGCAAAAGUUAGCAGUGCUGUUUCAUUCGAGGAGGCCACGCAGCUGUGAGAUGUUGAUUACAGUAGCAACUACCAAACUUUUGCAGGAAUGCCAAAUGGACUCGUGAUGCAUGCAGCCAAAGAGACUCUCGUAGGAGAGUCGGAACCUUUUUCUUGAUGUAGGAGAAUACUCUCCAAGCAAUCCAAUUGAUCCAAAGUAAAGAGAGGCUUGCUCAGACAUAAAAGAAACUUCAAUGUUCACGGCUUCCACUUUGGCUAUGUGCUUGUAACAGAACAGUCUGGAGAUGCCAACUUCCUGAAUAAGAAUUAGACACAUUAAAUUAAUAUUAAUCGAUAUCCACAAGAUUGCGUAUGCAUGAAGAGUGACAAAAUGGGAAAAUAAAAAUUAUUCUGUCUGAGGUAUCAUUCCACUUAAUCAUUCUUCAAACCUCAAAUAAAAACAAAUGCAAAUAUGAGAAAAGCCACUAGCCCACUAGCAAUUCAAUUUAGUCCGGGAAAAUGUCGAAGUAUUAUGAAUCUUUAUUCCAUCAUUUCAUUACCAGAUUAGGUAUUUAUAAAUCCAAUAAAACAGUUCGACCACAUAAUAGUAAUUAUGUUAUAUGUAGUGGUUAAAUGUCUUCUGAAACAAAUUAAUUCAUUGUAUAAAUAACAAAGGAAAGGGUUAUUCUAAUGAUAUAUAAUUAUGUUCUAUGUCAUUAUAAAAAGUGCGGUUUCUAGCUGUUAGGUAGCCACUAUUAAUGAAAAUGCUUAGUUUGCUUCGAUAAUUGAGAUGACGAACUCUAAGCCUUUCAACUUUUCCUAGUAAACUUUGUCUUCUUUAAGCUUUGCACCAUCAAAACUGUUUAGCAUUUUAUGAACAUGUUUUUCUUCAUUAUUGCAGUGAACAAGUGAAGGACAGAUUUCUACUUCACUUUUUCUUUUCAUCCAAGGUCCUUUUGUGUUGAUUUACAAAUCGAUAACUUCAUGCGCGUAAUUUAAAAGCGUAUAAACCUUAGCCAAUCAAUCAGCCUUCCCUGAGACCCAAGUAGAUUAGUAUGUAAAUAUAUAACUACUGACAUCAUAAGACAAAUCUACAAACAAGAUAAUACUUGAUGUUAUAAGAAGAGAGUCUUCCGACUGCAUGAACAAUCCACGAUAAUCAAAUUGCAAGUCCAACACAAGAAUUCAAAGUGCAGUUCAUGCGUUAGACUUAACCAUACGCCCGACCUCCAACCCAUAAAUAAUAAGUAGCAAUCACAUUAUCAGGUUUGAACUUAACACAGCCUAAGACACAAUUCUAGUGUCGAGCUUAAUUAGAGACAUGGGCUUGGCACAUGCAAAGUUUUACCUUGGAAGAAAUUCACAUGUAAUAUCUAUUUGGGAAAGGGAAGUGGAAGAGAUGAUCAACCUAAGAACAAUUGAGCACCCAUAAUAUCUCUAUAAGAAGACAGGAUAAAACCCUAGCUCAGAAAAAAUUGCAUAAAAUCACAUAUUAAAAUAACACAUAUCAUAACUACAAGAUCCGAUGAGAUCGUUUCCGAAUCAAAACACGAGGAGAGGCAAAAAAAAAAGAAAAAAAAAAUCAAAUCAAAUCAAAUCAAAACCAGAUCGAACAAGAUCGGAAGAACUCGUAACGGUGAAAAUCGAUCAACCUAUCGAUCGAUCGAUCGCUCGCUCGCUCGCUAGCUACAAGAAGAGAAAAAUUUGAACGUGUAUUCCAUUUGGGAAAGGGAAGAGGAAGAGAUGAUCACCGCGAUUGGGUUGCUUCGCCGCAGAGAGCUCCUCAGAUUUAACCUUUCCUCUUUCUUCGAUGUGGAGGAAACGAAGAGAGAGAGGGGGGCGGCGGGGUAGUAUUUAUAGCAAGGAGAAGGGGAUCGGAAGGUAACCCUUGUGUCUCAUGGUUCAGAUUUUAGGGCACCACUUACAUUAGUUUGCCCGCAAUUUGCCUUUGAAUUACCUUUUUGCCCCUCCAAAGGCGGUAGCAGCAGCCGCUGCUCAUAGGGGUGUAAACGAGCCGAACACGCCCAGUAAAAUAUCGACUCGAAAAAUUCAGCUCGUGUUCGGUUCGUUAAUAAACGAGCUGAACAUAAGCUGGCUCACGAGCUGACCAACGACCAAUAAGUUAAUAAGGAUUAGAUUGAAUAUGCAUAAAAAUAUAAAUUUAUAAAAUCUUAUCUAUUAAACUUUGAUCUAAUAAUUGAAACUUUACAUAUAAAUAAGUUUUUUUAUAAUUAAACUUUUAUUUAUAUUUUUAUUUUACUAAAAAUUAAAUAAUAAAAUUAUAUCUUAUAUAUAAUAUUUAUUUAUAUAUAAAAAUAUAAAUUAAAUUAAUUAUAUAAAUAUAAAAUAUAUGUAUUCGAGCUGUUAUCGUGCCAAACACGAGCGAGCUUAUCCCAGCUCGUAUUCGGCUCGUUUAUUAAACGAGNCUUGUUUAUUAAAUGAGUUGAAAAAUUCAGCUUAUGUUCGGCUCGUUUACUAAACGAACGAUUCGAUCUCAAGCUCAUUUUGAGUCGAACACGAGCUGGCUCACGAACAACGAGCUAGAUUGCCACCCCUAGACACAGGGGGUGUUUGGCCUAAAUUUUAAAAAGUGUUUUUGAGUUGAAAAGUGAUUUUCGGCUCAAUAGAGCGUUCGACAUCUUCAUUUUUAAAAUCUAAUUCUGCUUCUAAGAAUCAGAAAACUGAUUUGAAGGCCGCAGAAUCAAAAGUGCCGGAAGGUCAAGGAAGUUGGUAACCUGAUGACAGGGGAGCCGGCGACUGAAGCCUCGGUGAACGGCGGCCGUAACUAUAACGGUCCUAAGGUAGCGAAAUUCCUUGUCGGGUAAGUUCCGACCCGCACGAAAAGCAUAACGAUCUGGGCAUUGUCUCGGAGAGAGGCUCGGUGAAAUAGACAUGUCUGUGAAGAUGCGGACUACCUGCACCUGGACAGAAAGACCCUAUGAAGCUUUACUGUUCCCUAGGAUUGGCUUUGGGCCUUUCCUGCGCAGCUUAGGUGGAAGGCGAAGAAGGCCCCUCCGGAGUCAUACUUCCUUCACCUAAACUAGAACUUGAUUUAGCGGCUCUUUCCAAAAGGCGUGAAUGUAAAUAAAAAACAUCUCCUGGAUAAGCUUCACGACCGGGAGGUCUUCUUAAUAGAAGAGACAUUUGGCGAUAAGCUUGUACUUGUUUGGAGAGAUCAUCAUAAGCCCAUGCUAAAGUUUCAAACAAUUCUUGUCAAUAUCCACACCAUUAAAUUAAGAGCUGCUUCUUAAAAUCUAAUUAUGAUUUUAGAAUCAAACGUCAAAUUUUUAUUUUAAUUUAAAUUCAAUGUUUAAAUUUAAAUUUAACUUUAAAUUUUAAUUUUCAAAUUUAUUUUUAAAUUUUUAAAUUUUAAACUUUAAAUUUUAAAAAAUAGAUUUCAAACUUUAAAUAUUAAAUUUUAAUUUUAAAUAUCAAAUCUAAAAUUUUAAAUUUCAAAUUUCAAAUUUUAGAUUAAAUUUAAAUUUUAACAUUUUAGAUUUUAAAAUUUAAAUUUUAAAAUUUAAAAAUUUUAAAAUUUAAAUUACAAGUUUUAAUCUUCAAAUUAUAAAUUUCAAAUUUUUAAAAUUUAAAAUAAAUAUUUUUAAAUUUUAAAUUUAAAUAUUAAAAUUUUAAAUAUUAAAAUUUUAAAUUUUAUAUUUUAAAUUUAAUAAUUAUGUUAUAUUUUAAAUUUCAUAAUUAUUUUAAAUUUAAAUUUUCAAUUUUUAAUUUUUAAAUUUCAAAUUUUAAAUUUUAAAUUUUAAAUUUAAAUUUAUAUUUUUAAAUAUUAAAAUUUUAUAUUUUUAAUUUCAUAAUUAUNAAAUUAAAUUUAUAUUUAUAUUUUUAAAAUUUUAAAUUUUAAAUUUUAAAUUUUUUAAAUUAAAAUAUCUAAUUUUAAAUUUUGUAUAAUUUUAAAAUUUUAAAAUUUUAAUUUUAAUUCAAAUUUAAAUUUAGAUUUUAAAUUAUUUUAAAAUAAAAUUUAAUAAAAAUAUUAAUUUAUACAAACAUCAAAAAAAUUUUGCCAAAUAGAUUUUCAAAAUCACUUCAAAAAAAUCGCUUUUGUCUAAACUCAGCAAAACGCUCUACAGCAUUUAGCCAAAAUAACUUCUCCAAACUAUGGGCCUCUUUGGCCUAACUUCUGGAGAAGUGAUUUAUGUAAAAGUGAUUUUGGUUUGGAGAAAGAUUUGGAGAAUUGAUUUUGGUGAAAAGCUGUAGAGCGUUUGGUUGAAUUUAGAAAAAAAUGAUUGUUCUGAACUGAUUUUCUAAAGCUGUUUGGCAAAAAAUUUUUGAUGUUUGCAUAUAUUAAUAUUUUUACUAAAUUUUAUUUUAAAAUAAUUUAAAAUUUCAAUUUAAAUUAAAAUUUUAAAUUUAAUUAAAAGUAUAAUUUUUAAGUUUCAAACUUGUACAAAAAUAAAUUUGAAAUUUCAAAAUUUUAAAUUUAAAAUCUAAAUUUUAAAAUCUAAAUUUAAAUUUUCAAAUUUAAAAUUUAAAAUAUAAAAUUUAAAAUUUAAAAUAUAAAAUUUAAAAUUUAAAAUUUAAAAUUUAAAAUUUAAAAUUUAAAAUUUAAAAUUUAAAAUUUAAAAUUUAAAAUUUAAAAUUUAAAAUUUAAAAUUUAAAAUUUUUAAAUUUAAAAUUUAAAAUUUAAAAUUUAAAAUUUAAAAUUUAAAAUUUAAAAUUUAAAAUUUAAAAUUUUGAAAUUUAAAAUUUAAAUUUUAAAAUUUCAAAUUUUGAGAUUUGAAACUUAAAUUUUAAAUUUUAAAUGUAAAUUUUAAAUUUUAAAUUUGAAAAGUUGAGAUUUAAAAAUUCAAAUAUGAAUUUAAAAUUUCAAAAUUUAAAUUUAAUGUUAAAUUUAUACUUUGAAUCUAAAAUAAAAAUAAAAGUUAGAAGUUCGAGUUCAAAAUCAGAAUCAGUUUUGGAGAAGCAGCUUUUUUUUGCUUCUGAUUCUGGAGCCUUCAAAAUCAGUUUUCUGAUUCUAAAAAGCAGAAUCAGAUUUUCAGAAUGUUAUUCUCAAACACUCUACUGAGCUCAAAAGUAAUUUUGGGCUUAGAAUCACUUUUGAAUAGCUAGGCCAAACACCCCCUAAAAUUACUUUUUCAGAAAUCACUUUUUUAGAAGCUAGGCCAAACGGGCCCACUAUUCACUUCAACCUGAAUCCGCCAAACCGAAUCGGACUCGUUUACAAAUUUAAAAUUAAAAUUUUUUGAAUAAAUUAAUUUAACUAAUUUUUUUGAUAAUUAAGUAUAGUACUUAAGUAUCCACAUGUUCCGGUGGGUCGAUUUGUAAGAGAAGACGAAGAAGGAAGCAACAACGAUGAUAAAAAAAAAAAAAAAACAGUAAACGCAUAAUAAAAAGUAUUAUAAAAAAAUAAAAAAUAAAAAAUAAAAGAUGAAUACAAAUCAAAAGUGUCAUCAGUUACAAGUAUAAAUUAUUUUAGAGAUAAAGUUCAUAGGAGAAAUAAAGAUAUGAAAAAGAUAUUAUAUGAAUAUGACCUAAAACCGUUGCCUUUUUAUCAAUAAUUUUAGAAAAAUAAAUAAUUUGUUAAACACCAUAAGAAAUAAAAUCUUGUAGUGUUAAUUAGGUGCAUGAUGGUCGAACAAGCAUCCACUGCAACUAACAUUAGAUUCAUACUCAAGUUCCAAAGUACAACCAUCUGUAAAUAAUGGCGAAAGCACCGUAAGAAAUCAACAUGACAAAGAAAGGUUAGAAAAAGUAACUAAAGAAAAAAAAUGAUCAAUUAGUAGUAAUAACAACACCAACAGUAGUGAACAAACUAAAUAAAAAAAGAUGGAAAGGAGUUAGCACAAAAAGGUGUAAUAGAAAGUAGAGUCUCUCUACAAAACUGUCGACAUAGUAGCAAGAAUCAGACUGCAGAGAAUAAUACAUCAGCAGCUUGGACAAUAGGUAAGUUCUAUGUAGUCAAAAUUUAGCCAAGUGUGCUGCAACAAUUGCAUGAAGAAUGACCAGAACUACAAAAGUAUGAAAGAAGUUAAGAAGAAACUACAACUAUAACAAAAAGAAGAAAAAGAAGAAAAAGGAGCAAGAGUAGCAGAAACAAUAGUAAAGCACUAAAUAGAAAUAAAAUACCAAACAAUAGCGUAGGCAUACCAACAUAAAUUCGAUAUGCAGUAGAAACAAACGAGGAAGAAAAGUGAAUAUAAAAGCAGAAAAAGCUAUAGCAAUUUUAUUGAAAAUUAGAUUAUAAAAUUUUUGAGUAUUGUAAUGCCAUACUUAUAAGAUAAACAGUAAAGUUAUUUGUAAUAUUAUCAAUUAUGAUGAAUGAAAUCAAAAUGACCAAUAUCAAACUUCGAGAUUUGAUUGAACGAAAAAAAGGUUAGUACAUAAACACUACUAGUUGAAAUUUGCAGAAAGUAAGAAAUUUUGCAAUGCUAACAGAAAGCACAUAUUAAUGCCCAAGAAUAUAUGCUUCAAGCUACAUAGGGAACCAAUAGCAAUAGAUGCAUAAGAAGAACAAAAAAACUAGGUGCAGCACAAGAAGAAGCAACAACAGCCUUAGUGUUAGAAGUAGUAGUAGCCCCGGUAUUAGCAGUCAUAGCAACAAUUUAGUCAGCGAUGAAUGGAGAAGCUAUGGAAAAGAAAGAACAAUAAUUACACAAAUUUACCGACCGUCCCUAGAGCAAGUGGCAAAGGGCUUGGUGGUUGGUAUCCGAGACCCAAGUUCGAAUCCUAGUUGAUUCACAUUUUCAGCUAAGUUUAUUUCUAAAUAAAAUAAACGAAGCAGGUAGCAUGCUACCUAUCUCUCAAAAAAAAAAAAAAAAAAACACAAAUUUCUGAUUUCUGUUUAUUGAUUUUAGUUGUUUGUAAUAUUAAAGUUUACAAAAGUUUAACAAAUCGAGUAGAAAAAAAAGUGGUUAAAAUUAAAUCGGAAGGUGGAUUGUGUCAUUAUCUCUUCCACACACAUUUUACUUCGCAAUUUCUGUGGAAUAACAGUUGUAAGAGCUGCCAUUUGGCCAUUAGAUUUGUAUUACUAUUUAAACUUCUUUGGCCUUUUUAUUCAAACAGAAAAUUUGUUGUAUACUAUAAAGAUUAGAUCUCCCAGUAUUGCGUAAGUGCAUCAUAGGUAAGGAAGCAUCUAUUGCAGCUGUCGAGCCUGGAGAUUCAAAUCAACAACAGAAAUGACUUUUGGCAGAAACUAAAAUAUUUUGUAAGGUAAAUUUUACUAUAUAUUCAUUCAUAGUCUUUUAUAAGGCGGGUUUAUGGGUUUGUUGGUUUAUAUGGUGAUUUUAGUAGAUUGUGAACCCAAUCCCUUACCAAAUUGAACUUUGAAANGAAUUAACUAACUAUGCUCAUCGCUUGAACCUGAAUUAUUUUCCGAUCGAUACGGUUCAAUUUUAAAAAGUAAAAUAAAAAAAAAAUCAAAUAAGCUGAAUUAAAAAAUUAAAUUAUUAGCUAUUAUUAUUUUUGAAUAGAGUAAUAAAAUAAAAUGUACCAUACUUAUAAGUUCUAAUUUAAUUUUUAAAAAAAUUAUAUUAUUAAAAUCAAAUAAACUAAAGCAAACCAAAAUUAUUUGGUUUAGCAUCCAAUUCAGCUUUAUUCAAUUAUUAAAAAAAAAACCUAAAAAUUGAAACGUAUUUAGACAGCAACUAGUUAGGAAAAUUUUCUUUAUAAGCGUUUAGGAUUCAAACAACUCUAUUGUACAUCUUUGAGAUUUGAAAAGUCUAAAAAUGAAUAAUAGAAUAAAUUUAUUGCAACUAGUUUUGGUUCACGCUUCGCUACGGAUCGAUAGUAUUUGUAAUACUCGUAUCCAAUUAAAAUUUAAAUAUGCAGGUAUGAUUGUAGUUUUGUGAUAAACCUGUCAUUAAUAUUUUUUUGAUUUAUUUGUACCGUCGGAUUAAGCGGAUUUGAUUGGAUUUGAUUUUCAGAUUAAUUAUACUCUAAUACUAGUUAGAGUAUGAUUUAGAUUUAGCCCUAAUUAAUCACCUAUAAAUAGGUAAUUUAGGGAGAGUGUACGACCAAAAUAAUAAUAAUAAUAAAUAUUGUGGCCGGAUUCUUUGUCCAAGCGUGGCCGCCAGCGGGAGCAAGAUCCGACGAUCGUGGAGGAGAGAUAAAAAGAGCGAGAGCGAGGCGAGUCUCCAAUAAUUAGUUCUCUAGUUUUUUUUUCUCUCUCUUUUCUUUCUUCUUCUACCUCACCAUCUUAUCCUCUCUUCUCGUUGUACCGCCACCACCGUCGCCGGAGUGGUCGCCGGCCACCUGUAGUGGAUUCAGGUGAACCCUGUAUGGGGUGACCAUGGUUGGUCAUAAGAGGUGUCACGCCCCGCGACCAACCACCAAUUUGGACCGGGUAGCGGCGCCGCUAACAGACCGCCGAACGGACCGGGGUUUCCCCUGUACGCGGACAGAGUCUCCCCUGUACGUUCUAGGCGUCACAAUCCAAACAAUACAACGAGUGUUCCAACUAGGAACGGAUAACAAUCCAGAUUGCAAAGGAAGUAUCAAAUACAUAAAACUAACAGCUAUUACAAGCAUUCAUUCACAUUCACUUAGUACACCUCAGUUCAGUUUACAUUUUUACUUCCAAUUACAAUCACAUUAUUACGUCAUUUAAUUUACAAGUUUGAUACGUCUUGGUUCUUGCCUUCUAGUCCCCUAAGCUAGACUGCCUCAAGGNNNNNNNNNNNNNNNNNNNNNNNNNNNNNNNNNNNNNNNNNNNNNNNNNNNNNNNNNNNNNNNNNNNNNNNNNNNNNNNNNNNNNNNNNNNNNNNNNNNNGGUCUGGCAUUGGGAUUUUGGCGAGAUUUAGCUGCAGUUUAUUAUGAUCUUAAUGAUUGUAUUGGUCAGCUAACUAAUUGCCUAGGUCUCUAAACGCGGUCGGCGAAGACAGGUUUGCGUGGCACAGAGGGCGGGGGUUGCGGUUAUCGCGAGUCGGGUAUCGAGGUCGCUUCGCCGAGGAGUGUGAAGCCGCGUGCAAAGAUCGCAACAUCGAGUUAUCUAUUGGUUCGGCCGCUCGCAUAGGUGGGGUAGGAUGUCCAUCGCGAAGCUGGGCUCCUUCUUAGUCUUAGUACCACACUGUCGCAUAUCUGGACUCUUGUAUUUUUGCUCUAUAGGAACUUAUCAUGUGUUGCCUUAUCUUCUGCGCAUCCUUCGUCGAUGGCUAUCGAGCGUAAUUGGAUAUUUGUAUCAUUGGAUUGAUAAGGAUUUGGUCCUGAUUUGUGAUUAUAUGUAAAGGAAAUCGAUGAACUCAUAGAGUGAGGGGCAUCUAGUCAAUUAGUCAACCAUGACGGUGGCAUCUAGUGUAUCACACACACCAGCGAACAAACGCGACAAUCAUAGUUAAAUAGGAGGGUAAUGUGACAGCCUUAUGCGGACUGAUAUGAUAGACUGUGACUCUAGGAGACAGGGUAAUCCUCGAGCUUAGAGAGAUUUGUGAUCAUGUCACGAGUCUGAUUAAUUUGUGAGUGGGCAAGCCCACACAGGUAGGUGCGGUCCGGAUGUUGGGUCACGCGGGAUUAGGCCUAAUAUGGGCCCGCCAGCGGUCUCGCGAGUCCGGUAUGUGUCGAGGCGUUGAUGGUGCCCUGUAGCGUCGGAUCGGGGCUAGGUGAGACUGGGCGAGCUCGGGUAAGCGAUCAGAGGAUUAAUUGAACAGGUAAACAUGAUGGUUAUGGAACGAAGUGAAAGGGCUUCACCUUUGGACUUGAUGACAAGUUAAGUUGCGUUACCCAGAUUACACUUGGUCAUGCAUGCAUAGAUUAUGUUGAUGUAGAAUAGCUGUCAUUGUCGUUCGUUAGGCCCCCCCCCGCCGCGCACCACCUAUAUAUCUAUCUAUCUGUCUAUCCAUCUAUUGGUAUAUCUACUUGUGCCCGCUUGGACCUAGUGGGGAGAUCGGCGGAGUCGGCGGCCGAACCCACUGGGAACUAAGGAAGUUAGUUCUCACCCCCAUUUUUACCACAGGUUCCAGUUCGGGUGUCCCCGGUGAGCGUGAGGAUCGCGGUAAGGGCCCGGCGUUUUAGUAGCAUUAGCUACCUUCCUUUUUGCACUAGCCGUCACCCUUUUAUAUUUGAGAGUAGAUGAUGUAUAGGGUGAGGUUCGAGUGAUUGUAUUUAUAUUUUGGAAGAAUGUAAAAGAUGUAAUUGAAUGUAUUGAGUCAAAUGAAUGUAAUAGAUAGCUCUUCUCUCUUAUGUACUUGUAUAUGUUUCUAUACUUGUAUCUUGCUCUCGUCUUAUUAGCACUUGUUGUGCUCUUGUGAUUGUGUACUUAUGAGUUGAUUCCUGGGUAAACUCUUGUACAUGAUCGUUUGCUUAGCCUUGGGCGGACAGGGGAGACUCUGUCCGUUCGGCGUCUGUUCGACGCGCCCGGGCCCGAACCAAAUUGGUAGCGGUCGCGGGGCGUGACAGAAACCGAUACCAAUUUGGUCCAGUUCGGGCGCGUCGAACAGACGCCGAACGGACAGCACCUCCCCUGUCCGCCCAAGGCCAACAGCGAGAUCAUGUAAAACAAGUUCCUAGGAAAUCACUUGAAUACAUACAUGAUCACAUAACAACUAUGAGGGGAGCAGAAUCAGUGCUAAACAACUAAGAGCAAGAUACAAGUAUAGAACAUACGAGUAAUAAUAAAGAGAGAAGAGGCUAUCUAUUACAUUCAUUCAGCCUUUAUAAUACAACUUGAUUAUGCAUUAAGCUUCUAAACAUAAUAUAAAGCUUACAUCUUCUAAAAUAUAAACAUUAGCUUACAUUCAUCCCAAAAUAGCUCACAACCUAUACAUCAUCUACUCUCAAUGUAUAUAAAGGUAACUCUAGUGCAGAAAUAGGAAAGUAAACUAAUGCAACUAGGGCGCUAGGCCCUUACCGCGAUCCUCACCGCGUGAACUCGCGCUCGGCCCUGUAGUAAAAUGGGGGUGAGAACUAACUUCCUUAGUUCCCAGUGGGUUCGGCCGCCGACUCCGCCGAUCUCCCCACUAGGUCCAAGUGGGCACCAGUAGAUAAUUGAUAGAUAGAUAGAUAAGGAAAGCGGUAAAUGACAGAAGUAAAGGUACUCUACUAUGCCCAAUCAUAAAUAUAUGAAUGCAUGUACAAUGAAAUAGGUAAGCAACUAACCCAUUACCAUGUCCAAAGGUAAAGUCAUUUACUCGUUCAUCAAUCUUAUUUACUUGUUUCUUAAUCUCGUGGCUUCCCUGAAGGAGCCUACAGCUCACUAGCCAUCUCGAAGGUAGGGAGGGUCAACUCGCACUACGAACCGAGACCGUCUGCCGGGGCCUAAAAUAGGCAAUCCCUUGGGACCCAAACUAGGCAAUCCCACGUGACCAACUCCGGAGCGCACUACUUGUGUGGGGCUUCCAUCACAAGAUUUAAAACAGACCGUGAGCAUGAUCCAAUCCUCGUCUCGAGAAUACCCUAUCCUUUAGGGGUACAAUCAUCAUAUAGUCCAUAGGUUUCACAUACACUAUGACUCAUAUGUGUCAUUUGUUCUUUUGCUUACUAGCAACUAAAUGCCACUUGUUCAUUUGUUUGCUAUCGACUAGAUGCCACUCGUUCUUUGUUUAACAUUAGACCAACCGUCGAGCCCAUCUCUUUCUCUGCACUAUAGGAUUCACAAGUCUCGACCCAAUCCUUAUCGAUCCACUACUAUGUCAAGUAUCCAAUACAUGCUACGAUAUCAUCAAAGAAAGCAUAAGGAAAGGCAGUGCACAAUCAUCCUAUAAUGCAAUAAUACAAGAUGCAAGAAUCGACAUGUACUAAGACAUAGAAGGGAGCCCGAUUGCUUCGGGAUGGACACCACCCACCUUUUAUAGCGUUCCGAUUGCUCGUCGUCACUCGCAAUCGGCCUCCCGCGGCGCACGCCGCUUGGCUCGACCCAAUCCGCGCGCGCGACCACCAAACGACCUCCGAUCCGCGAUCCGAAAAUUAAAGGUCUUUGGUUUCCUAUUACGAUGCUUCAAAUCCGUUUCCAGGAUUUUACAACGUCGCCUCGGCCCUCCAGGCAGAAACGAAGCCUAAACGUCCGUUUCUUUAAUAACUUUGCACCGGCUAGACGAAUCGCCGAACCGUCGCUUCCAACGCGUUCAGUGACCUAUCAAUUAGGUUUCCAGAGGGUUAAAUGAGAUCAAACCCUCAUAUUUUCAAAAAUUGCAUUUCAAGCCCUAGGUUUAUAACUAGGUAAGAAUUAAUUAAAUUGAUCCUAGAUUCUAGCAAUAAUCAUCUAUUUAGCAUGCUAGAAUAGCUCUAAAUCCAUUCUUGAAGCUUAAAACCCAAACUACAAAGAGAUACCAUUAAAGGGUUUUGAAGCUUACCUUCAAACCAUGCUCCAAUGGAGAGGAAGAAGAUGGAGAAGAUGGAAAUCCACCUUAGAGCUUCAAUCUCCACCAAAAUCAUCUCUUUUUGGGAGAGAUUUAGAGAGAGAAAGGAGAGCUUUCUCCUUUCCCUUCCAUGCGUGUAUGGGUGUGUGUGUGUGUGUCGGUUUGGGGCUGCUACGGCUGAGGAAGAAAGGGAUUUGAUCCCUUUUUACGAGUUAGCCCCUCAACUAUGCAAUCCUUCAAUUUAGUCCCUAAAUCUGAUAAGUUUCGUUGGAGCCCUUCUGGAUGUCCGAUUGAGCUCAAAUUUGACAGGCAUGCUCAGUUUAACGUACUGAGCAAGAAUAUAUCUUAAGUUUUCAGUUUCGACCCCGUUUGGUCACCGAAAACUGUGCCGAACUGCAAUCUUUAUCAGAUAGCCUUCGGAUUUUAUUUCUCACUCUACGGGUGUCAGAAAAAUAUGAAACCUUAAAUCUAGCCUCAUAAAAAUAUUCCUGACUUAUUCUCUAAUUUUCAUAAUUUUCUGAGACUGCAUUUUCUGCUAAUUUUUCUGUCCCGUUUCCAACAGAAAAUUUCAGAUCUUCUGUUUUCAUCCCGAUUUCAGCACAAGUCACUUCUGACUUAUGUUUUACUUCUCUAAAUCCAAUAAAAUAGUAUCUCAUACUAUUUUUAUUUAUUUAUUUAUUUUUUAUUUUUAUAUUUAAAUCCGGUAUGUUACAUUACACCGCAACCUUCCCGGAACCAUUCAAAUGGCUCUCCAACCAAAUGGACACCGUAACCUCAUGAUUUUCGAAGUCCGAUACCCUACAUCCUCCCCUCCUUAAAAAGAGUUUCGUCCUCGAAACGAACUCAAUAUUGCAAAACUUAUUUAGAACUUUAAAUUCUAAACUCAUACCUUGACUUAAUCCUCGAACAAGUGAGCAUGAUUCGCCUUCAUCUCCUCCUCAAGCUCCCAGGUGGCUUCGCGAUCGUCAUGAUUGCUCCACCGAACUCGGACAUAAGGAAUUUUCCGAUUCCUUAACUUGCGCACUUCACGAGCAGUAAUCGCCACCGGAAACUCCUCAUAACUUAGGUCUUCCUGAAGCUCCGGUGGUUCGUAUAACAUUGCAUGCUCGGGAUCAGGUAUGUACUUGCGCAAAUUGGAGACGUGGAACACGUUGUGCACAUCCGCUAGUUUUGGAGGCAACGCGAGCCGAUAAGCCACCAUUCCAAUCCGUUCCAAGAUCUCAUAGGGGCCAAUAUAUCGGGGACUUAAUUUUCCCCGAACUCCAAAUCGCUUAACGCCCCUCAUAGGCGAAACCUUCAAGAAAACGCGGUCGCCCACCGCGAAUUCCAAAUCCCGUCGGCGCCUAUCCGCGUAGCUCUGUUGUCGAGAUUGCGCAGAGAGUAACCGCUUCCGAGCAAGGCGGACCUUUUCUUCCGCCUCCCGCAACACAUCGGGGCCAAAUUCCGUGCGCUCGCCCACGUCACUCCAAUAAAUAGGAGAGCGGCACUUCCGCCCAUAAAGAGCUUCGAACGGUGCCAUCUCCACGCUAGCGUGAUAACUGUUGUUGUAGGCGAAUUCGGCCAUUGGCAAAUACUUACACCAACCUCCUUUGUAAUCGAUGACACACGCUCGCAACAUAUCCUCCAGAGUCUGAAUAGUCCUCUCGAUUUGUCCGUCUGUCUGGGGAUGGAAUGCAGUGCUAAAAUCGAGCCAUGUGCCAAGGGCCUCCUGUAGGCUUUUCCAGAAAUGUGAAGUGAACUUGGGGUCUCUAUCCGACACAAUCGAUUUCGGCACCCCGUGCAACCUCACUACCUCGUCAAGAUAUACCCCACGUGUGACGCUCUAGAUGUGACUGGUGUUUUCAGACUUUAUAGAUAAAUGGGUCUUCCUCAAUUUGUACGCCGUCUCCGCCACCGAUCUCGAUAAUUUCCUAAUGCUACAGCUGUAAGAGAUGGUGGGACCGUUUCGUUUACACCAACGCCUACGCAAAUCGUCCUUCAGCCGCUUCUUGGAGCGAAAACUACAAUGGGCCGUUUGUGGGGAUCCCGACCUCUACCUCGCUGACCUGGAGCUUCACCAGCGAGGGCUCCAGGGCCGAGUCGACUACCGCGAGCAAUAAGUUGGCUGGAAUAACCUCUCCUAGUCUUUAAACGUUGGACGUCUAGGCUCAGAGGUUUUCCACGCCGCGUUGUAGCUCCUUCCUGCUCUACCGNUAAAGUCACACCUGCGGCCACCGCGCGAGGCCAAAGCUUUGGCCACCACGCACGGGCUCUUACUUCUCGAAGCGCUCAACUAGAACGUCCUUCGGGUGGCCAGAGGUAUGCGCCUAGUGGGCCCGCCGUGGUUCUACAUAGUACUCAAUUCUCGUGAGAUAACCACCGGCCCCUACUAUCGACUAUAACCCGCGAAGCACCGCUUCACAAACUGAACAGUCGUUCACUUUCGCCUCGCGGCCAAAGGUCGCCCUUUCGAAGUUUCAGAUGGAUAAGGACAGACCUUUACCCUCCUAUAUAGAUACCUAAAGUAGCAACCGAAUGGAGCGAGCUGUCCCCCUGUGCUGCGUUAGACCCACUAACACCUAGCGAACUGCUUCAGUCGCGUGAAAAAUGGCUAGGUGUGGUGGACCCGCCCUCUAUUCAACCGCGUNGGUAGUGCCUCCACAACUUCAGCGCAAAGAUCACCGCCGCCAACUCCAAGUCAUGGAUGGGGUAGUUCUUCUCGUGGUCCUUCAGCUGACGGGAUGCAUAAGCUAUCACCCUCCCGCCUUGCAUCAGAACACACCCCAAGCCCAGAUAGGAUGCAUCGCUAUAGACCACAAAGUUCUCGCCCUGCACUGGUAAGGCGAGUAUCGGAGCCGACGUCAAUCUUUUCUUCAAUUCGUUGAAGCUUUGAUCACACUCGUCGCUCCAAAUGAACUUGACGCCCUUCUGAGUCAAACCGGUAAGUGGAGUUACAAUUUUCGAAAAGCCCUCCACAAACCGUCGAUAAUAGCCCGCUUAGCCCACAAAGCUUCGGACCUCCGUGACGUUUGUCGGGCGUGGCCAAUUCUCGACCGCUUCGACUUUCCUCGGGUCAACCGAAACACCGCCCUCGAAAAUCACAUGCCCCAAGAAGGCAACCUCUCGAUGCCAGAAAUCGCAUUUCUUUAGCUUUGCGAAUAGCUUCUCCUCCCGAAGGAUUUGAAGCACUAUCCGCAAAUGCUCCGCGUGUUCCUCAUCGUUUCGCGAAUAGAUCAAGAUGUCGUCUAUGAAAACCACGACAAAUCGGUCCAAGCACGUUUUAAACACACGGUUCAUUAGGUCCAUGAACGCUGCCGGGGCAUUUGUGAGCCCGAAAGGCAUAACCGUGUACUCAUAGUGUCCAUAACGUGUACGAAAUGCGGUCUUCUGAAUAUCCUCCGACUUAAUCUUUAACUGAUGGUAGCCGGAUUGUAGAUCUAUCUUCGAGUACACUCGUGACCCCUGUAACUGAUCAAAUAAAUCAUCGAUUCGGGGCAACGGGUACUUAUUCUUUAUCGUGACCCUAUUCAACUCUCGAUAGUCCACGCAGAGUCGAAAUGAGCCAUUCUUCUUGCGCACGAACAACACCGGCGCUCCCCACGGCGAUACGCUCGGCCGGAUAAACCCUUUGUCGAGAAGAUCUUGUAACUGGUCCCUCAAUUCCCUUAACUCUGCCGGCGCCAUACGAUAUGGGGCUUUCGAGAUUGGCGUCGUCUUCCGAAUCAAGUCUAUAACGAACUCGAUCUCCCGAUCCGGCGGCAUCCCCGGUAACUCCGUGGGAAAUACAUCCGGAAAUUCCCGCACCACCGAUAAAUCCUCUAAUUUCGGCACCACCCGGUCCACCUCCACGACGGUUGCCAAAAAUGCUACGCAGCCGCCGUUGACCAACUUCCUAGCUCUCGUCGCCGAUACUGUCGCGACGAAGCAAGAACUCCGACAAGCUCGAUAAACGACCUCCUUCUGUCCUGGCUCCCGAAAGGUGAUCGAUUUAUUCUUACAAUCGAUCGUGGCAUAAUACUUUGAGAGCCAGUCCAUGCCCAAAAUGACGUCAUACGCCUCCAGUUUAGUGAGUUCCAACAUCCGGAUGGGCAUCAUCCAGUCACCUACUUGUACUAGGCAUGACGAGCACUCCGUGUAGGUAUUAAACGACGAUUCAGGACCCUCGACUCGCCACUUGCCACUUGCUUCUAUGGGUAUGUCAUGCAUGCGUGGCACCCGUAUCGAACAUAGCUCUGGAGCGAACUCCAUUGAUUAGAACCAUACCUGCUACAACAUCAGGCUCCUCGGCUUGGGCGGGCCCCUCAGCAUGGGCUUGAGCGGCGAAUACCCGUCCGCUCGGCGCUGAUCGAGUCACCUCCGGCUGGUGCGGCGCCAGUGCGCGUCCCGCCGACACAGGAACAUACGGGGCCCCUCCUUGAUAAGGCGAGGGCGCUGGAGUCGAUGCGACUGACGGAGUAGACGAGGCCCUUGCCGGACAGUCGCGGCUGACGUACCCUUCUUGUCCAUAAUUAAAGCACCGCCCUUGUCGUUGUCUACACUGCGGUGCCCGAUGGCCUCGAUCUCCAUAGAUAGGGCAACGCUGCGGCCCACGGCCCCAUGACUGCGACGGCGGAUACUUCGGGGGCCUCCUUGAACUCGAUUGUCCCCCCGAACUGCCGCCCGAUUGCUUCUUCCCCUUGUCUGGGGAUCCGGUCAACAACUCACGCUCCUCCCGCACAUGGGCAUCUCCAUGCUCUGCCCACAGCGCCUUAUUGAAAACCUCAGCGAAAGUUGUGAGCUGGAACAAUUGCACUGCCCGAUAUAUCCAUGGCCGAAGUCCUCGCAAGAACCAUUCGGCCCGAUCCGCGUCAUCCUUGACCACGUCUGGGACACAGUCUAUAAUGUGGGAGAACUCCUGCUCAUAGUCCGCCACGGAGCGAUCCCCCUGUCUCAAUUUGCGAAACUUUUCCUUUAGCUUCCACUUCUCGGUGUCGGGGAAGUAAUUUCCAAACACUUCCCUCUUCAACUCAUCCUAGAGCAUUGGUGGAAGGUCAGAGGGUCGAUCUCGCUUCAACCGCUUCCACCACACCUUCGCCGCCUUGUCAAGGCAAUGGGUGGCGAAAGGCACUUUAUCCUUCUCCGAGGUGUAUAGGUCCUCGAAGAGGGUCUCCAUAGAGUCAAUCCAAGACUCCACCACCGAUGGCUCCACUUUCCCCCCUUCAAAAGUUGGUGGCUUAAACUUCAUAAACUUCAUUAGAGCCGUCAACGCACGCUCCCGCUCCACUUCGUCGGCCGUCGUAUCAAGUAUCGCCGAACCUGAAGCUGUCGGAGGCGCAUUUGCCGGCGGGGGAACUGCUGCCAUCGGAACUGCCGCUAUGCCCUCACCCUCGGUCGCUACCAGCGCGCGUGCCGAAGGUGCGGGCGGAUCGUGAUCUCCAGCCGCUGUCGCGGCCACCGCUGCUGCCGCUUGCCGCUCCACAAAUCCCUGGAGCUGCUCGAAUCGAGCCUCCUGGCGCUGCAUCGCGCCCAACAUUGCAGCGACCUGCUCCCGCAGCUCCUGCACUUCCUCCGAUCUUGUCUGCUCGGGCUCCGCAGAAGGCGGUACCGGAGCAGACCUAUGCACGUAACGCCUCGGGGACAUUUGCUCCUGAAAAGCAACGACUCGGUUAGUUAUCUUAAUCCGAUAACUUUUUCAACGCUCACGAAAUUAAACGACUCGACAGUGAAAUCGGGCGGAAGCUCACAAGUGUUCCAGUUCUGGACUCUUAGCGUCGCGUCGUCGGCCGCCGACACAACCACGACGAGCCGAGAAACUAGUAUCACUUGGAUCCGUCUCUAUUCACAGCUAGAGACAUGACAUAAGUUCUGGACUCUUAGCGUCGCGUCGUCGGCCGCCGACACAACCACUACGAGCCGAGAAACUAGUAUCACUUGGAUCCGUCUCUAUUCACAGCUAGAGACAUGACAUAAGUUCUGGACUCUUAGCGUCGCGUCGUCGGCCGCCGACACAACCACUACGAGCCGAGAAACUAGUAUCACUUGGAUCCGUCUCUAUUCACAGCUAGAGACAUGACAUCAACUUUGACCCAAUCGAUCAACUUCCGCCAUCGCCAUGAGUUCACGUUCACUCACGUCCCUAUAACCUUAGGGUUUACCGACCUAGUGUCUCCUAGGUCAUCCUAGACUCUCUCUUUACUUGCUCUGGUGCUCUGAUACCACUUUGUGACGCCCCAGCUUCCCAGGGGGUCACCCAUCCUAGGACUACUCCCGUCCUAGCACGCUUAACUCUCUUAACCUCUUGGGCCUUGCCACCACCCAAAAUGCUUAAGCCGGGUUAAAAGUUUAGCCCUAUUAUAUCUUAUAUAUAGGACUACCCGGGGUCUCACACCUCAAGUGAAAAACCCUCUCUUAAUCUUCAAAUGGGAAGUAGAGGUUUUCCAAUCUAACUUAUAUAAAGGUUCUAAACCAUUCCAAUAAGAUCAAGAAGCCUCAAAUUAAGAAUCCCAAAAUCUAACCCUAAAAUCCAAAAUCUAGGGUUUAAACAAGCAAAAUGCCCCAAAACUAAGAUCUAGAGGAAGGAACCUUGCCACUUACCUCUAGGAUGCUCCAAUCCAAGCUCAAAAUCUUCUAGGGUUGAAGAUUGAUCCACCACAAAGUUCCAAAAGCAAGCUCCAAGCCUCCAAAGGUGAGAAAUGAGGAAGAAGAUGGUGCUCCAAAGCCUCCAAGCAAGCUCCUCUCCUCUCCUUCUCCUUCUUCUCCUUCCCUUUCUCUCUCUAGAAGUGUAAGGAGAGUGUGAGGGAGAGAAAAUGAGAGUGAGAGGGGGUAGAGAGGCUGCCAAAAGCCUCUAAGGUAACAAAAUCCACUUAGGCCUCUCAAAAAUCCACUCUGUGCACUGCCCGGUCUGGGCCGCUCACGCGCUGAGGGACCGGUCUCUCCCUGCCAAGGACCGGUCUCUAGGCUCGUCCAGCAAAACCAGCGUUCGGGAACCGGUCUCUCACAGCCAGGGACCGGUUGCCUCAAGCCCUGUCGCAGCACUGUGCUGAGGGGACCGGUCUGUCAUAUCAGGGACCGGUCCCCGAGAGUGAAAACUCUCAGGACUUGCCAAAACUCUAGAGAUCGAACUUUUAGGCCGGUAUACAUCGACGGCCCUCCACCAAGUGUGGAAAAGUUCGAAAUACAUAUCGAACACUCGAACCUCGCAAUUUGCAAAGGUCCAGUGUGCUACAUUCAUCCCUCCUAAAAAGGAGUUUCGUCCGCGAAACUCGAAUACUAACAUACCUCAAAACUCCGUCUGAAAAAGAUGGGGAUAGUGCUCCCGCAGCGCACUCUCUAGCUCCCACGUGGCCUCCCGCUCCCCAUGGUUGCUCCAAAGAACCUUCACGGACGGAAUAUCCCGGUUUCACAGUUUCCGCACCUCGCGGGCCAAAAUCUUCGCUGGGUCGAAGACAUACUUCCGAAGGACCGAUACAUGAAAGACGUUGUGCACGCCGGAUAGGUUCGGUAGUAGAGAAAGUCGAUAUGCUACCGGACCCACACGUUCCAAGAUCUCAUACGGUCCAAUGAAACAGGGGCUCAACUUACCCCGAAUCCCAAAUCUCUUAAUCCCUCUAGUCGGCGAAACUUUCAAGAAAACAUGGUCUCCAACUUGGAACUCCAAGUCUCGCCGUCGUCGAUCGGCGUAGCUCCUCUGUCUACUCUGCGCCGUCAAAAGUCGCUCCCGAGCAAUUCAAACCUUGUUCUCAGCUUCCUGGAGCACGUCGGGGCCUAAUGCGAAUCUCUCACCGACUUCACUCCAAUGAAGUGGCGAUAUACACUUCCGUCCGUAAAGUGCUUCGAAGGGCGCCAUCUUGAUGCUUGCUUGAUAACUAUUGUUAUAAGCAAACUCUGCCAUCGGUAGAUGCUGCAACCAUCCUCCCUGGAAGUCAAUCACACAUGCUUGGAGCAUAUCCUCUAAAGUCUGAAUAGUGCGCUACGACUGUCCAUCACUCUGCGGGUGGAAUGCUGUACUGAAAUCCAGACGAGUGCCUAAGGCGUCCUGCAGACUCCUCCAAAAGCACGACACAAAUCAGGUGUCUCGAUCCGAUACAAUCGAUGUAGGCACUCCAUGAAGUCGCACAAUCUCAUCGAGGUACACUUGUGCGAGCUUCUCCCCAGUCCAAGUUGUAUGAAUAGGUAUGAAGUGUGCCGACUUCGUCAACCUAUCCACGAUCACCCAAAUAGCAUCUUGCACGGCCUGCGAGCGGGGCAAUCCUGUCACGAAAUCCAUGGUGAUCUUCUCCCACUUCCAAACGGGAACAGGCAAACUAUGAAGUUUUCCCGCGGGAACGCGAUGCUCAGCCUUUACUUGUUGGCAAGUUAGACAACGAGCUACAAACUCGCCAACGUCCUUUUUCAUCCUGGGCCACCAAUAAAGCAACUUUAAAUCCUUAUACAUCUUGGUGCCACCCGGAUAUAUAGCGUAGGGCGCUCGGUGCGCUUCUUGAAGAAUAUCCUCUUUAAUUCCCGAAUCCGUCGGUACACAAAUCCGUCCACAGAAAUGCAUCAAUCCUUGAUCAUCCACAAGGAGUCGCCGGUGCAACCAUUAACCAUUUUACCUUUAAUCCUUUGCAACUCUACAUCGGAAGCUUGCUUUUCUUUAAUUUUAUCCAAUAAUGUAGGUUGCACCACCAACGUCAUCAACCUCAAAGGCGUGUCAGGAGUCACCACCUCCAACUCAAACCGCUUCGUCUGCUCGAUCAACUGCGGUGGAGUAACUAAAUGCAUUGCUAAGUUUUCCGUCGAUUUCCUACUUAGCGCAUCUGCCACCACAUUAGCCUUGCCCGGGUGGUAAAGAAUCGUUAGAUCAUAAUCCUUGAGUAGCUCCAACCAUCUGCGCUGUCUCAAGUUCAACUCCUUCUGAGUAAAGAGGUACUUUAAGCUCUUGUGAUCCGUGUACAUUUCACACCGCUCGCCAUAAAGAUAGUGGCGCCAUAGCUUCAAUGCGAACACUACGGCCGCCAACUCCAAAUCAUGCGUCGGGUAGUUCUUUUAAUAUUCCUUUAGUUGGCGAGAAGCAUACGCGAUCACCUUGCCAUCCUGCAUCAAUACACAGCCCAAUCCAUUAAGUAACGCAUCACUAUAUACCAUAUACCCUGCUCAAGCUACUGGUAGGGUUAAGAUCGGGGCGGUCGUCAAUCUCUGCUUCAACUCUUGGAAGCUUCGCUCGCACGCAUUAUUCCAAAUAAACUUGAGUCCUUUAUGCGUGAGCCUCGUGAAGGGAGUGGACAACUUAGCAAAUCCCUCAACAAAUCUCCGGUAGUAACUGGCCAAUCCAAGGAAGCUCCGUAUCUCCGUGACGCUCGUCGAUCUCGGCCAACCCUUGAUAGCUUCAAUCUUCUUGGGAUCCAACGCAAUAUCUAAUCCUGAAAUCAAGUGUCCAAGGAAAGCUACCUCUCGAAGCCAAAAUUCACAUUUCUUCAUCUUGGCGUAAAGCUCCUUUUCCCGAAGUACUUAGAGUACAAUUCUCAAAUGCCCCUCGUGAUCUGCAUCACUUAGAGAGUAGACCAAAAUGUCGUCGAUGAACACCACAACGAACCUGUCUAGAUAAGACUUGAAAACACGGUUCAUUAAAUCCAUAAAAGCUGCCGUGGCAUUAGUCAGCCCAAACGGCAUAACUGUGAACUCAUAGUGUCCAUACCGUGUUCUGAAAGCGUCUUCGAUACAUCCUCGGGUUUGAUCUUCGGUUGGUGGUAUCCAGACUGCAAGUCAAUCUUGGAAUACACACACGAUCCCUGAAGCUGAUCAAACAAGUCGUCAAUUCUCGGCAACGGAUACUUGUUCUUGAUCGUGACUUUGUUGAGUUCACGAUAGUCCACACAUAGGCGAAGUGAUCCGUCCUUUUUCUUGACGGAUAUAACUGGCGCUCCCCACGGCGAGACGCUUGGUCGAAUGAAGCCCUUGUCCAACAGAUCCUGUAGCUGUGCCCUCAGCUCCUUCAGUUCCGCCGGUGCCAUCCUAUAGGGUGCCUUCGAGAUUGGGGUAGUCCCAGGGACAAGAUCCACCACAAAAUCAAUCUCCCUAUCAGGAGGCAUGCCCGGAAGCUCAGCUGGAAACACAUCCUGGAACUCCCGCACCACCGGAAUAUCCUCGAUCCUAGGGGUGUCAUCCUCGCCCCUCAUCACAACACUAGCCAAGUAGGCUACACAUUCUCGGCUGAUCAGCUGCCUAGCUCGAGACGAGCUGAUCGACAUCGCGAAAAGCGAACUCCAGCAUCCUUUAAACACAACCUCAGUCUGCCCCGGUUCUCUAAAGGUAACCGUGCGAUUCUUGCAAUCUAUCGUGGCAUAAUAUUUGCUCAACCAAUCCAUGCCCAAGACCACAUCAAAAUCCCCCAGCUUGCGCAAAGCUAGCAAAUCUACAGACAUGAUCCAAUCUCCUACCCGAAUAGGGCAACUGGGGCAAUACUCUCUAAUAUCCAGAACGUGGUCGGGUACAACAACAUGUCCCGUGUGCAACAAAGGAACCAAUGGAAUGCCAUGCAACUCGGCAAACAGCCGAUCUAUAAAUGAAUGCGAUGUACCGGUAUCAAAUAAAGUACGAACUCUAAUGCCAUCAAGUAAAAUGAUACCUGCAACCACAUCCUCGGCUGCUGCCGCCUCCUCGGUCUGAGCGGCAUACAAGCGUCCACUCGGGGCCUGCCGAAACCCCUCGCUCUGCCGCUGGACGGUUGGCCGCCCAGGCUGGUACUGUGUCGACGGAGUCCCCUGACUGGCGGCUGGUAGAGCCGGUGCCGAUGCAGUCGACGGUGCGGGUGAAGAACCUCUCGGGCACUCAGUCCGCACGUGGCCCUCCUGACCACAUUGGAAGCACCUGCCCGCCCGCUGUGGACACUACGGUGGGUGAUGAGGACCACCACAGAUCACACACGGGGAGGGCCGGCGUCGAUCAUAGCCUCCUCGCUGAGCUGUUGAGCCGCGUCCACGUUGCUGGCUCUUCGGAUGCUUCGGCGACCUCCUAGAGUGCGUCUGGCUCGCACCCUCAGCCGCAGGCCUCUUGGCCUUGCCCUUGUCCAUGGCCUCACGCCGCUCCUGUACCUCUGCCGCGCCGCUCUCCACAAUGGCGCGCGAUCCACCACCUCCCGGUAGGUUUGCAGGUUAGAGGAUUGCACAAACCGGAAGAUCGACGGUCGCAACCCUCGCUCGAAGAUGCGGGCCUUGUCCUCGUCGUCCCGCACGAUGAAAGGCACGCAGUGUAGAAGCCGAGAAAACUCCCUCUCGUACUCGGCUACGGUGCGGUCUCCCUGGCGCAAGCUGUGCAGAUCCUGCUCCAUCUUCCUCUUGACGCUGGUCGGGAAGUAAUGCGCCAAAAUAAGCUCCUUCAACUUCUUCUAUGUGAUAGCUGCUAAAUCAGUGCUUGGGUUCUCCUGGAGAUCCAACCACCAGCGAGUGGUGAGUAGCGAGCCAAACUCGAUCCCUCUCCUCCACGAAGGUGUCGCGGAAGAGCUUCUCCAUAUGUAUCAACCACUUCUCCACGAUCCAGUGGUCGACCUUUUUGCCGUCGAAAACUCGGGGACUACACCUCCUGAACUCAUUGAGGCGCUCCAUCAGUCUGUCUCGCUCUGCCCCCUCGACCAAGGUAGGGAAUGCAGCUCCCACCGGGGGCCUUUAAACAGGUGGUGCCACCAAAACCUCCUCCUUGGGUGCGGCCACAGGUGCCGCACACGAAGAACUGGGCGCGGGGGAUGGCGCUCUCGGUGCAACGUCCACAACGGGUGCUGGCGGUGUAGGGCCCUGCGUCUCCCUAGAAGCUGCUGCCUGUUGCAGGAGUAGAUCCUCCAGGAGCUUCAUCCGCGCCUCCUGUCGGUGCGCCGCCUCAGUCUGCUGUCGGGAUGCCUCCGCCUGCUGAGUGACUAAAUCGGUGAGGGCCGCAAGCUGGCCCCUCAACUCACGGAUCUCGCCAGAUCUGGAUGUAGCGGAGGUCUUGACCUCCUCAAAGUUCGCCACAUUGUCCGCCUCGGCAUAUUGGGAGCGAGUAAUCGGCAUCAUCACUACAAAACAUCAUAAAAGCACAAGUUAGCAAAAACCGAUGCUAUCGCAUCCCCGCUCAAAGAUAAUACCCAAAUCAGGCAAAAAUAAGGAAGUGUGCUUCACUACUAACUCCCGACGUUACGUUGUCGGCCGCCAACGUAACCCUCUGUGAAGUUAGAAGCUAUACACUUCAAUUCAACUCUAACUUUUUAGAGUUAUCAAGAUACCCAAUCAAGGUACUUUCGCUCACAAAUCAAAUAGACCUCGUCUCUCACGAGCCUAUUUCCUAUAGUCCAACCGGCCUAAGGUUUGCUAGGUCCCCUGAGACUCAACCCUAGGCUCUGAUACCAAAUUAAUCUGUCACGCCCCGGGACCCAGCGGAAGCCCGCCCGGCACGUGCCCAGACCCGCCAUACGUCUAAAACAUAUAAGGCGUCUAAAACAACGAUAAUUAAAGCAAGAAUAAAAGAUAUCUAGGAGUAUCAGAGCAUGAUAUAAGACUAAGUUCUACAAUAGAGAAAGGAACAUAAAGCAGGAAUUCACUAAUAAAAGCAUAAGGUAAUACAAAGGAGAUCCCAAAUACAAGUGCUCAAAGUAGUGUAACGCACUGGACCUUUGCAAAUUGCGAGGUUCGAGUGUUUGGAUGUAUUUCGAGCUUGCCCACACUUGGUGGAGGGUUGUAAAAUGUUUUCCGACCUGAAAAGUUCGAAAACUGGAAUUCUGGACAAGUCCUGAGAGUUUUUGCUCUCGGGGACCGGUCCCUGGAAGGAGAGACCGGUCCCCCAGUGAGCAGUGUUGAGGCAGCCUGAGGCAACCGGUCCCUGGCAGGCGAGACCGGUCCCCGAGCGCGUCUUCGCAGUGAGAGACCGGUCCCGCGCAGGGAGAGACCGGUUCCCGAACGCUGGUUUUUCGGGUUCGCAGCGAGAGACCGGUCCCUGCUGGGGAGAGACCGGUCCCUCUGGGCGAAAACUGCCCAGUUCGGGCUGAUGUAAAUUUGAGUUUUUGAGGGGCCUCUCCGGAUUUUGUUACACUAGAUGGGCUUAUUAGCCAUUUCCUCCUCUUCCCUCUCUCAUUCUCUCAUUCUCACCCUCUCCCUACACUUUCUAGAGAGAGAAGAAGAAGAAGAAGGAGGAGAAGAAGAAGAGGAGCUAGCUUGAGGGAGCUUGGAGCUCAACCCCUUUCUCUCUUUUCCACCUUUGCAAGGCUUGGAGCUUGCUUGUAGAGCUUGGUGGUGGACCAAUCUUCAACCCUAGAAGAUUUGGAGCUUGUUUGGAGGCAUCUUGGGAGGUUAGUACUUGGAUUCUACCCUUUGAUCCUUGAUUUGGUAGAUUUUACCAUAUGAAACCCUAGUUUUGGGUAUUAGGGUUGAUUUUUGGGGCUUUUUGAUCUAGGGCUUUUGGGGCUAAAUUGAUUGGUUUAGAACCUUCCUUGGGCUUGGAUUGGAAGGGUUCUAGCUCUCUUUUGGAGCUUUAGAAGAGAUUUCUUCUCUUGAGGUGAAUUUUGGCCCUAUUUGCUUCUAGAUUGAUGUUUGAUCUCAUGGUUGGUCGUAAUACUCUCGUAUCUCUUCGCUGAUCACUUUUAGGGUAUCUUGAGGCUCGUGGACAACUCCGUUCGACGAAUCGAAGGAGCACGCGACGGUUCGGUGGGUUUGGCCUAGCAUACAAUAUGAGAAAUGCUCAUAUUUGGUGUUAAAUGUUUCGUAAAGUUGAAAUUCUUGCAUUUUCAUGUUAAAUGUAUUUAUUAUGAAUUUUAGAAUGCUUAACAUGCAUAGGUUAUGUGUAGUAAAUUUUGGGACCUCUAUAUAGUAGAGAGCAUGCAUGUGUGGCCUAGCAUUCUAGUUGAGACUUGAAAUUAUAAUCCCUAUUAUGAAAACGAACCUUGCUUUCAUGCAUUCAAACUAUAUACCAGAUGUGACAUUAGGGAUUUUUGGAAGCCUAGAGAGGCUUAGGGACUUAGAUGAUAUGUGAGAUUGGGCCAAUGUCAUGAAGAGGCAUUGGGGCCCGGGGCAUAGUGAGCAUUAAUGUUAAUGUCUUAAUUGGAACAUGAUUAGUUGUGGAGCUUAAGUGUCAUAAAGAGGCACUAAGCAAGUGUGUGUUGGGACUUCACAUUAUGACUUUGAACUAGAUCUUCGGGAUGCUAGUGACUAUACCAUGUUAGAGACAUGAGGAUUGGGUACUUGAGACAGUGACCUUGCUUGUUUGCCAUUUGUGCUCAUUCGCACAUGCUUGUGAGGGUCGCUCCCCACAAGCCGGCACUCCGGAGUUGGCCUAUGCGACUUUUGUUCGCUCGUGCGGUAUUGAGACGCCUACGGGGUCGAGUGGGACAGACACAUUCCAUGUGUAGGAAUGUCGGGCUACCACAGGCACUUAGGCGGCACAAGCCGGACUACCUUGGGUAGAUCCUUAAUUGGAAAUGUAAAUCGACACGGUUUGAGAAUGAAUGAUCACUACUAGAUAGGCUUAGUAGUUGGAUUACAUUUACAUGCUUUUAGCAUAGUGUGAGACAUGUAGUAUACUUGGUUGCCAUGAUAGGACUCCUAUAUCAUGUAUUGACAAAGGUUAACAACAUUAAACUAGUGCCAUUGGACUUAAUUGCAAUGAUAGAAUAGAUAUACAUUUUGGUUGACAUCAUGCUUACUUGAGACACAGUAGACUAGCAUUUCAAAUAUGCUUUCUUUCAGCAGUGUAUUUACAUGCUCCUUAUUGCUUAUUAUUAUUAUUAUCGUUGCUUACCCUUAUUUUUAGGGCCUAGUGGAGCAUGAGCUGAGGUCAGUAAUUGCCCACUGGGAACUAUAAAUUAUAGUUCUCACGCCCUCUUUUUCUCGAUGUUUUUCAGAGCCUUCCACUCAGGGUGAGGCCAGGGAUCGCGGGAAGGGAGUUGCUUCGAGCUAGCUUCCUUCGAGAACGAGUUGCUAGGUGGUCUACCUCUCGAUUUUUAUUUCUUUUUGCGAGAGGUUGAGAGUUUUACCAGUGUACUAGAGACCACCACUUUUGUAUUUUGGAGAUAGAUUUUGUACUACUUGUUUUCUUUCAUGUAUUAGUUAUGUUCUAUUACUAUUGGUGUAGAUGUUAUAACUUUACUCGCUCUGAUAUCAUUAGUUGCUAGUUAUUUCACUUCUUUUAUUUGUUCCAUCUCUUGCUUUUACUUCCGCUUUUCUUGUAGACGCCUUAUAUGUGUAGACAUAUGGCGGGUCUGGGCACGCUACUGGGAGGGCCUCCGCCGGUCCCGGGGCGUGACAAGUAGAUACAUAGGUGGUCUCUAUACGUGGAUACAAAAUCUCUCGCUUUCUCUCAACUACAAAAAGAAAGAGUAAACCACAUAGGCAAAGAACCGCUCCUCGCUAGCUAGCUAUGCGAUCCCCUUGCCGCGAUCCCGUGCCUCCGCCGGUGCAGAAGGCUCUGAAAGAAACCACGAAAAAGAGGGCGUGAGAACUCUUAAAAAUAGUUCCCAGUGGGCAAUUACUGACUUCAGUUAAUGCACCACAAGGCCAAAGCUACAAGGGAAGUGGUCAGCGACAAUAAAAACAGUAAAGCGAAAUGUAAGUAAAAGUGUAACUUACUAUAACAUGAAGUCUCUACUUAGCAUGAUUUGCAUAAGUAAUAAAGCAACUAUAUCAUGGAUGUACAUGGAUAGGUAUGACAUGCAUAAUCAUAGAAAUGCAACCAACUCGAUGUCCUCAAUGCAAAAAUAGUAAAGAUGUCAUUGUUUACUAUUCUAAUCCAAGUCCACGUUUCACUUUAAUAGUUUUAAAGUUCAUAUGGCAUACACUGUCACUAUGUUCCAAUCAUAUAAGACCCAUCCGAAGGUUGUUUGGCCUGCGCCGUGCCUAAUGGCCCCGUGGUAGUCAACAUCCCCACUCUAGGAAUGAGCCUCCCCCACGGCAAUCCACUUCGGCGCCCAAUCCCGCACGGGCGAGCAUAUGUCGCGAUGGCUAUCUCCGGAGUGCCGGCUUGUAGGGAGCGACCCUCACAAGCAUAUGCGAAUGAGCACAAAUGGCAAGCAAGCAAUGAUCCGUCUCAAGUCUCAUGUCUAAAACAUGGAAUAUAUCGAAUGUCCCCAUGGUCUAUCUCUAUGUCGUCAUGUCUCUAAUAUGGAAUAUAGCAGAUAUGUGUUGGCCUAUCAAUGUGUCACUAUGUUGUAAUUUCAUAGUUUACUAGUUUCAAGUGCCCCUUAAGGACACUUUGUUCUCUAUGUCAAGCAUGGUAACUAUGUUCCAAGGUUCAUGUUCCAAGUCGUAUUCUUCCUAAGAGAUAUGUUCUCAACUUGCACAAACAAACACUUUAUCAUAUGCAUGCUGCCUACACAUUUAGCUCUACUAUAUAGAGUACAAUUUUUAUGAUACAUAGCACAUGCAUUUUAAGUGUUCUAGAAUUCAUAUAAAUUCUACUUAGUAUAGAAAUGCAUUCAAAAGUACUUUACAACAAGUAUUAAGAGCAUAGGGGCCAUUUUGCCCAAUUUCCACGAAGCCAAACCCACCAAAAUCGUCUUCUUCGUUUCGCCGAACGAAGGUAUCCACAAGCUUCCUAAUACCCUAGAAACAUCAAAAGUAGGGUCACUCGAACGAAACGAAGAGCCAUUGGCUCAAUCAUUAAGCUUCUCAAGCUAGGGUUGGGAAAAACUCAUCUCAAGUGAAAAACCCUCUUAAUCUUCAAAUGGGAGGUAGAGGUUUUCCAAUCUAACCUAUAUAAAGGUUCCAAACCAUUCCAAUGAGAUCAAGAAGCCUCAAAUCAAGAAUCCCCAAAUCUAACCCUAAAAUCCAAAAUCUAGGGUUUAAACAAGCAAAAAGCCCCAAAACUAAGAUCUAGAGGAAGGAACCUUGCCACUUACCUCUAGGAUGCUCCAAUCCAAGCUCAAAAUCUUCUAGGGUUGAAGAUUGAUCCACCACAAAGCUCCAAAAGCAAGCUCCAAGCCUCCAAAGGUGGGAAAUGAGGAAGAAGAUGGUGCUCCAAGGCCUCCAAGCAAGCUCCUCUCCUCUCCUUCUCCUUCUCCUUCUUCUCCUUCCCUUUCUCUCUCUAGAAGUGUAAGGAGAGUGUGAGGGAGAAAAAAUGAGAGUGAGAGGGGGUAGAGAGGCUGCCAAAAGCCUCUAAGGUAACAAAAUCCACUUAGGCCUCUUAAAAAUCCACUCUGUGCACUGCCUGGUCUGGGCCGCUCACGCGCUGAGGGACCGGUCUCUCCCUGCCAAGGACCGGUCUCUCGGCCCGUCCCGCAAAACCAGCGUUCGGGAACCGGUCUCUCACAGCCAGGGACCGGUUGUCUCAAGCCCUGUCGCAGCACUGUGCUGAGGGGACCAGUCUCUCAUAUCAGGGACCGGUCCCCGAGAGUGAAAACUCUCAGGACUUGCCAAAACUCUAGAGAUCGAACUUUUAGGCCGGUAUACAUCGACGGCCCUCCACUAAGUGUGGAAAAGUUCGGAAUACAUAUCGAACACUCGAACCUCGCAAUUUGCAAAGGUCCAGUGUGCUACAGGUAGAUAUUCGUUGUUCAUCGUAUGAGCAUAGCUUAGGAAGGAUCAAUGAAAGAACGUUCGUGAAGUCAUCAGUGCAGCUUCGAACUCUGUCCCAGCGUGCUUCUUCCCCUUCUGCUGCUCCACCUCCUGCUGCUGCUACUUCUUCACGUCCUUCUAUGGACAUUUUCGAGGAAGAUGUCUCAGUUUCCUCUGUGUAUCGUGAGCAACAACGUUUGUCUGAAGAGCUUCAGAAACUAUCUGCGGAACAAGCUGCAAUACGGAAUGAUGUAAGCAAAAUGAAGCGGUUAAUGCAGGCGAUUUUUGACAAGUUAGGAUAUUACCGAGCAGAUUUACCUCCAGGGGAUGAUUCAGAUUAGAUGUUACGGGGUUCCUCCUUUGGUCAUUUUGGCGCUUUCUGACAAAAAGGGGUAGAUGACAUGUGAAUGAUAUGAUGGCUCAUGAUGAUGAUGAUGGCUGAUGAGAUGAUGAUGUCUAAUGAGAUCUGAUGAGGAUACUGUUUUUUUUUUUUUGAUUAGUUGUGUAAAUUUAGGCUAGAUGUUUGUUUAGGUGCUUAACUAUGAACUAUGACUUGUUGUUUUGAUUGCUUUGACGUUUGAUCUUUUAUGAUAAUUGCUUGAAUCUUGAUUGUGUUUUUUUUAAGAAUGUUUUUGCAGGAAUAUUCAAGACUUCAAGAUUCCGGGUCUAAGUCAUAGAGUCUGUAUUAAGGUUGAAAAAUGUAAUUUUUCUUUUAUUGGAUCGAUCGUGCAGGAGAUUGUCGUUUGGUGAUUGCGAUGAUCUUCUUUUUAUUGUUUCUGAGUUGUGUAUGAACUUUGUAGUAUAUUUUGUCACGAAAUCACCAAAGGGGGAGAUUGUUAAGGAUGUUAUAGGUUGGCGGAUUUCGUAAUGUUGAAUGGAGUCUUGAAGAGUUGAUCGCGGAAGUUUGAAGAAAAGAUCCAAAUUGAAGAACAAAGACUCAUUCGGAAAGCUCGGCAUCUAAGGUAUGAAGAAUGGAUGAUUUAUGGUGAAGUUAUUUAAUUAUAAUAAGUUCAGAAGGCUUAGAUUGCUUUAAAAAUUAUUUUACUGAACUUGUAUGUGUUCUGGGACCGGUCCCUGUGUUGAAGAGACCGGUUCCCCUAAGGUUCUCACUGCGUGAACAUUGAUGCAACCGGUCGCCUGAGAUGAGAGACCGGUUCCCGAACAUUGGAAAUUCUGUCGCGCAGCAAGGGAUCGGUCUCUGGCUUGAGAGACCGGUUCUCGAACGUUGUGUUUUUGAUCACGCAGCAAGGGACUGGUUCCUCACUUGAGAGACCGGUCUCUCACAGACCGGUCUCCUCGAGAGGACCGGUCCCUGAGGACGACACAUGUUUUUAAAAAGGACUUUUUGCAAUCCUAGUCUACUUUUAAGUCUUCUAAACAUAUAAAUAAGCCAUGGGGGUCAUCUUAAAGUUUAAGGCUUUGAAUUCUUACUAAUUCUAAACCCUAGAAACUUGUUUUUCCGUUCUGAUGAUUCUACUCACAUAACAAGUUUCGAAAAAUCAACAAUCGACUUGGUUCUUUGAUUUUACUUGAGAUCUUAUUCGAGAAUCAAGUUGAUGUUUGAUUAGAAGACGGACCCUCAUAGCUUAUGGGAUUCUAAAGCUUAAUCACCACAAAUCUUCGAUUCUACAAGCUUCGGAAGGAGAUUCGGCGUGUGGAUCUCGCGUGUAGCCGAGGAUUCGGUGGACGCUUUGAGGAGUUGAGGCAUUGACGCUGCGUAGAGUUUCGGCGAGGUCGAUUGGAGGAUUCCUAUCGAUCGAGGACCGGCGAAGAUCAUCAUCAACAAGAAAUCGGUAAAUUGAGUCGUGUGUUUUUGUCAAAAUCACUUGUACUCAAGCUUUCUUAGUGGAUUUUCUUUGCGUGAUCGGUCCCGUGGGUUUUUCACUCCGGCUUGGAGUUUUUCCACGUUAAAUUCUCGGUGUGCUGUUUUAUUUUUCGCUAUUUCAUUUUAUUUGCAUCGAGAUUUUUGAGUUUGCCGUUUUUACACCUAUUCACCCCCCUCUAGGUGUUACUUAUCUUUUAGAUCCUCGGGAUCCAUAUCUUAUACCGGUCACUCGGGGAGAGACCGGUUCCCGAACGCGUGCGCCCGAGGGGGGCUCUCGGGGACCGGUCCCAAGUUGUGGAGACCGGUCCCUCCGCGCGAAUUCUGCCCAGUAAGGGCUGUGCAAGGAUGGAAAAGUGGAGGGGUUUAAGUGCAAAAUGGCCAUCAUAUGAGGGGUGUAUAUAGGAAAUUACCCUCUCUUUCUCUCAUUCUCAUCCCCUCACUCCCUCUCAUCACUCUCCCUCUCUCUCGCUAGAAAGAGAAGAAGCACAAGAAGAACAAGAAGGAGAUGAAGGAAAAGGAGAAGAAGAAAAGGAAGAAGAAGAAAAGGAAGAAGAAGAAGAAGGAGAAGGAGAUCAAGGAGAAGGCUUUAAACAACUCCCUCUCCCUCUCCUCUUUCCAUUGGUGUAGCUCAAGAGGUAAGCUACAAACCCUAGCUUGUAGAACUUAGGGUUUUGGGUUUUGAGCUUUGGAAAUGGGGUCAAAUGGACCCCUAGCACCAUUGUUGGUGGAUCAAAGCUAAAGUUAGGGUUCCAAAUAACAAAUGGCAAGAUGGGAACCCUAGGGCACCCAAAAUGGGGUUUUUGGUGAAGUAUGAGAUUGAUCUUAUUUGAGACCUCGUAAACCUAAUUGGUAGGUCACAAAACGCUGGGGCGUAGUCGAUUUCGCGAUUCGACUAGUGAAUUGGGAGCUAUCAGCGAAAUACGGCCGAUUUAGCCUUGUCUUGGACCGAGAAGGACGAGAUCUUGUCGUAAGGUGCGCCGAGGAGCGUUUCUAAAGCCUCUACAUCGAUAAAAGGUGGGGGGUGCUAUCCCGAAGCUUUCAAACUCCUUUCUAUGUCUUAGAUUGCAUUUAAUCUCAUUUCUUACAUGUUGCAUUGUAGGAUUGCAUAGUAGCUCCAUUCCUUAUACUUUCUAAUUGAUAACCUAGUGCAUUUGGAAUGCUUGAUAACUUAGAUAGGUGAGGAUUGGGUCGGAAUGUGGAUCCUAUGAUGCGAAAGAAAAUAGAUGAACCCGAUGGAGGUUGGUGACAUAGAAAGUAGUGUUUAAUGUCAAAGAACAAACGAGUGGCAUCCAAAUGUUAAAGAAUAACGAGUGGCAUUAAUGUAGUGUAAAUGACACUAGAGGUUUGAGAACCUAUGGAUAGAUGGAUCCUUUAGAAAAUGCCUUGUGGAUAAAGAACUUAGUAAACCUAAGUACCCUCACAUGGAGAGGUUGUCGAUGAGUUAUUGAGACAUUGACUCUAGUUGUAGAGCAUCCUCACUUGGAGAGGAUUUGAUUGGGUUAUUGACUCUAGUUGUAGAGCAUCCUCACUUGGAGAGGAUUCGAUUGGGUUGUUGACCCAAGUUGUAGGGUAUCCUCACUUGGAGAGGACAGAUCUAGCUCACAGUCUGCUUUUGGGGUGGUAUAGCCAUCCAUAUACCCACAUGGAGGGGAUUGUCGUCGAGUACUCCGGAGUGUUGUGCGACUAGGACCACUUGGAGGUCCGGACCACAUGGAGGUCCGCAGACGGUCCCGGGCUUGGGUGCACUUGGAGCUCCCUCCCCACUUUGGAAUUGAAAGGUGAGUUAUUGGCGAACCCUAGGGCUUCGCUACAGAUUGGGUAAAAGAACAGUGAACAAUGUCAUUGAACAUUAUCAUUCGAACAUAGAUCGAAUUUGUUAGAAUGAUAGUAAACCUUUACUAUAUGAUGCAUGCAUUCAUUACACAUGAUUAUGGGCAUAGUAGCAUAGUUUUCCUACUAUCACAUUUAUGGCAUUUAGAUAUCUAUCUAUCUAUCUAUCUAUUGUUGCUUGUGCCCACUUGGACCUAGUGGGGAGAUCGGCAGAGUCGGCGGCCGAGCCCACUGGGAACUAUGGAAGAUAGUUCUCACCCCACUCUAUUUCCAGUGGUAGGUACAGGGUUGCCGAGAGAGGACCGCGGCAAGGGCAUUGCGGCCGACCAGUGAGACCAUGGUAGUAUAAUAGCUUCCCUUUUUGCAUUAGUACACCUAUGUAUUGAGAGAGAUUCAUUGUAGGUGAGGAUUUGGAGAGCUAUGUAUUUUGGAUGAAAGAUGUAAUCAUUUAAAGAAAAUGAUGUAAAUGAAAAGGAUGAACUAUUGUUAUAGUUAGCAAGGUACUCUCUUUACUUCAUAUGUUAUUCCUGUGGAUUACUUGCUCUCGUAGUUGUUGGCACAAUUUGUGCCCCGUUGAAUGUGUAUGUUUAGAAUUUAAAUUCUUGGGAAAUUCUUGUACACAUUCUUGUUGUGAGCCUUGGGCGGACAGGGGAGGUGCUGUCUGUUCGGCGGACCGCUCGCCGCGCCCGAAUCGUGCCAAAUUGGUAGUGAUCUCGGGGCGGGGCGUGACAUGAGUAGUCUAAUGUUGUUCCGGUUUUUGUUCUUGUGAACAUUGACAUCGAUUCGUUCCAAAUUUACACUCUCGGGGCAUAAUAGAACAAUAUAAUUAGGUUUUACGCUUUAUUAGAUAGAAUGAGAAAAAGUACCCGUUGCAAAGUUAUACUGUUAGGGUGCAACUGAGUAGUCUAAUGUUAUUCUGAUUUUUAUUCUUGUGAACGUUGACAUCGAUUCGUUCCAAAUUUACAAUCUCGGGGCAUAAUAGAACAAUAUAAUUAGGUUUUACUCUUUGUUCGAUAGAAUGCGAAAAAGUACUCGUUGUAAAGAUAUACUGUUAGGGCGCAACUGAGUAUUCUAAUGUUGAUCUGGUUUUGGUUCUUAUGAAUGUAGACAUCAAUUCAUUCCAAAUUUGCACUCUCGGGGCAUAAUAGAACAAUAUAAUUAGGUUUUACACUUUGUUCGAUAGAAUGAGAAAAAGUACUCGUUGUAAAGUUAUACUGUUAGGGCGCAACGAAGUAUUCUAAUGUUGUUCCGGUUUUGGUUCUUGUGAACGUUGACAUCGAUUCACUCAAAAUUUACACUCUCGGGGCAUAAUAGAACAAUAUAAUUAGGUUUUACUUUUUGUUCGAUCGAAUGAGAAAAAGCACUCGUUGUAAAGUUAUACNGUUUUUGUUCUUGUGAGCGUUGACAUCGAUUCGUUCCAAAUUUACACUCUCUAGGCAUAAUAGAACAAUAUAAUUAGGUUUUACGCUUUCUUCAAAAAAAUGAGAAAAAUUACUCGUUGCAAAGUUAUACAGUUAGGGCGCAACUGAGUAGUCUAAUGUUAUUCCGGUUUUUGUUCUUAUGAGCGUUGACAUCGAUUCGUUCCAAAUUUACAAUCUCUGGGCAUAAUAGAACAAUAUAAUUAGAUUUUACGCUUUCUUCGAUAAAAUGAGAAAAAGCACUCGUUGCAAAGUUAUUCUGUUAUGGCGCAACUGAGUUGUUUAAUGUUGUUCCGGUUUUUGUUCUUGUGAGCGUUGAUAUCGAUUCGUUCCAAAUUUACACUCUCUGGGCAUCAUAGAACAAUAUAAUUAGGUUUUACGAUUUUUUUUAUAAAAUGAGAAAAAUUACUCGUUGCAAAGUUAUACUGUUAUGGCGCAACUGAAGUGCCUAAUGUUGUUCCAGUUUUUGUUCUUGUGAGCGUUGACAUCGAUUCGUUCCAAAUUUACACUCUCUAGGCAUAAUAGAACAAUAUAAUUAGGCUUUACGCUUUCUUCGAUAAAAUGAGAAAAAGUACUCGUUGCAAAGUUAUACUGUUAGGGCGCAACAGAUUUGUCUAAUGUUGUUCCGGUUUUUGUUCUUAUGAGCGUUGACAUCGAUUCGUUCCAAAUUUACACUCUCUGGGCAUAAUAGAACAAUGUAAUUGGAUUUCACGCUUUUUUCGAUAAAAUGAGAAAAAGCACUUGUUGCAAAGUUAUUCUGUUAUGGCGCAACUGAGUUGUUUAAUGUUGUUCGGAUUUUUGUUCUUGUGAGCGUUGACAUCGAUUCGUUCUAAAUUUACACUCUCGGGGCAUAAUAGAACAAUAUAAUUAGGUUUUACGCUUUCUUCGAUAAAAUAAGAAAAAGCACUCGUUGCAAAGUUAUACUGUUUGGGCGCAACUGAGUAGUCUAAUGUUAUUCCGAUUUUUGUUCUUAUGAACGGUGACAUCGAUUCGUUCCAAAUUUAUAAUCAAGGGGUAAAAUAGAACAAUAUAAUUAGGUUUUACUCUUUGUUCGAUAGAAUGCGAAAAUAUACUCGUUGUAAAGUUAUACUGUUAGAGCACAACUGAGUAUUCUAAUGUUGUUCCGGUUUUGGUUCAUAUGAAUGUUGACCUCAAUUCAUUCCAAAUUUGCACUCUCGAGGCAUAAUAGAACAAUAUAAUUAGGUUUUACUCUUUGUUCGAUAGAAUGAGAAAAAGUAAUCGUUGUAAAGUUAUACUGUUAGGGCGCAACGAAGUAUUCUAUUGUUGUUCCGGUUUAGGUUCUUAUGAACGUUGACAUCAAUUCCUUCCAAAUUUACACUCUCUGGGCAUAAUAGAACAAUAUAAUUAGNNNNNNNNNNNNNNNNNNNNNNNNNUGAGCGUUGACAUCGAUUCGUUCCAAAUUUACACUCUCUGGGCAUAAUAGAACAAUAUAAUUUGGUUUUACGCUUUCUUCGAUAAAAUGAGAAAAAGUAUUCGUUGCAAAGUUCUACUGUUAGGGCGCAACUGAGUAGUCUAAUGUUGUUCCGGUUUUGGUUCUUUUGAACGUUGACAUCCAUUCGUUCCAAAUUUUAAUUUAUCUCAAACAGAUUUAAAUAUUAAUUCUUAUCCAAAUAGGAUUUAACUACAAAUCUAACCAAAUCCUAACAACAUGAACAAAGUACCAAGAGUGUUAGUUUUAUGUUAGAAUUAUAUCUAAAUACCAGCAAAAUUUGAGCUGUUGAUUAAGUAUUUUUAUAUAUAUUAAGCACUACCAUGUCCUCGUAAUGAUAUGUUCUAUUUCACUUAUGUGAUAGAUAUUGAAAUGUGCCUAAGCAAAGUUAGUGGAACUGUAUCGCAUUGAAAGGUUAGUAGAGCCUUUUUGUGGGUCACACACAAGUUGAAUUGCAAAAAAGUAAUGCUAUGCCCCCUCCUAAAAGUAGAUGUGAGUAGAUAUUUAGUUAAACUGGUUCGUUUGGGCUCUGUGGGACACACAUUAUAUGAUUUAAAUUCAUUGAUUUUGAUUCUGUAUGUUCUGAUAUCAAAAUUUAUGUCAUAAAAUGAUGAGCGUGGGAAUUGAACUUAAGAGGUACCUCUUAGAACAGAGAAGGCUUAGGAUAUACCAUAUUAUCCAAAAGUUCGAUUAGACUAUUCUGACAUCUGAAUAACCUGAGAGCAGACAUAGCUAAAGAAUCAAAUGGCAGCUAGGAGAAGAUGGGUGAUUUAGUUGGCAAAUAAAAUUCAAGUAAAUUUAACCUGAGAUAAAAACUGCACAACAUAAAUAAAAGAAAGAAAAGAAGAAAGCAAACAUAUAUGAAGCAGAUGAUUUAUCGCAGUUCGAUCUUUUCACCUACUCUAGUCCGGUCCUCUAUCUUCUCAAGACUCUCAUAUAAAUAUGAUUAGUUAAUUCAGAUUUGGCAAAAAUUCAGCACGGAUAUAAUUCGAAUAAAAUUCGUAUCUCAAUUUUUAAAUUUAUUGAAAAAUAUGACUUAAAAAAUGGAUUUGCCAAUUUUUCGGAUAUGCGAUUUAUAUGAAAAUUAUACGUUCACCAAUUAAAUAAAAAAUUCAGCUAUUAAACUAAGUUUUCUUCUCUAGAUUUAUGCUACUAGCAUACAUAAAUUCUUAAGAAUAUAAAAAUAGAGAGCUCCAAAGUAAAAUAGAUUAAUAAAAAAGUAAUAACAAAUUUUAUUAUCGUCUCCAUCUUCAUUUUUUUCAGAAUCCACAUACUCCGAAAGUUUAUGAAGUUUUUCAAUAAUACACGAAUAAUUCGGCAAUUAUUUGGAAAAAAAUUUUAUUCAAAAAUUUUACGUGUUUGUUUGGCUGAAUAGAUCGGCAUACGAGAGUUAUUUUAAAAAUAACUGUAUUUUAUCCAAGGCAAGUCCCCCGGGACCACGGCAAGACUUGCCUUGGGUCUAGGGUUCCGAGCCGUGCUGUGCCGGGCCAACGGCCUCUCCUCGUGCCUGGCCGUCGGGCCCCAGAAAUGCAGCCCAGCACGGCCUGAAGAGCCUGGCCGGCCCGGCCCGGCCCGGCACGAAUGCUACAAUAUCUGUGCCGGGCCGGGCGGCCGGCUGCCCGGCCCGUUUUACACUCCUAACUAGCACUCUGCGAUAGGCUGGGUCUACCACUUGUUCCAAAACCAACUCUAUAUCCUAAUCUAUUUUAAAUAAAGUUCGGAUAAUUACAAAUUAUGAAUUCUCUUAAAUUUUGCUUCACACAAUUUUUGGUUGCAUCAUAAAACAAUUUGGAUGUAAAAAUUCGAGACAUAUUUAAUAGAACUUUUUGUAUAUAUAUAUAUAUAUAUAUAGAGUGAGGCUACUAUGCUAUCGGAAGCACGGAGCCUUCCGUGCUUCCAGCUCGUUUUCGAUGUUGUGAUUUUUGAAUCGUCGAUCGGCUCCGUUAAACUUGAUCUAGAGUAUUUGNNNNNNNNNNNNNNNNNNNNNNNNNUAGUAAUUUGAAGUACCUAGAAAAUAAAUUUAUGAUUUACGAUAUCAUUUGGCCUAGUGAACGAAGGGGCUCAAAAUGCACGGCUGAAAAAUAAAAUCUUACAAAUGUAAUAAUAUGACAUUAAAUUUUAAAUCAAGAUAUUGAACUUGUUUUAUAUAGUAUAAUAAGAAUUUUCUAUCAAAAUUUCACUGUGAUUUGGAUAUUUUCACCGUUAAACUUGCAAACGGCUCAUACGGCAUUGAAAUUUGUUGAUUUUGAGCCAUUCGAUCAACUAGGCAAAUGAAUAUCGAAAAAAUAAUAAAAUUAUUUUCUAGUACUCCAAAUACUUCUUAGAUCAAUUUACCGAGCCGAUGCGACUCGAUUUGAAAGUCGCAACAUCGAAAACGAGCUGGAAUCGACGGAAGGCUCCGUGCUUGCCAAUAGCAUAGUAUAGUCUCACUCUAUAAUAUAUAUAUAUAUAUAUAUAUAUAUAUAUAGAGUCGGCUACUAUGCUAUUAAUAGUACGAAGCACUUGUGCUACCUAAUUUUUCCGCGCGUUAGAUCUAGCCCUUUUGUGAUUCAUUUCACCAGUUAGAUCAUACAUUCACCACACACCACUCAAACCAUAGGGGCCCACAUCAUCCUAACCGACAUUCUUAAUCCAAUACAACCCAACUGGGUGUAGCACAAUUGCUUGGUGCUAUUAAUAGCAUAGUAGCGCUAGUUCUAUAUGAGUCCGGCUAACUAUGCUAUUAAAUGUACGAAUGCGGCUUGUGGCUACAAGUUUUCCGCCGUUAGAAUGCUACACUUUUGAUUAUUUCAUCCGUUUAGAUCAUAACUAUUCAACCAACCACCACUCAAAUCCUAGGGGCCACAUCAAUGCCUAACCGCACCAUCUCUUCAUCCAAUGGCCCAAAAAACUGAGGUAGCACCAAUGACUUGGUGCUAUUAAUAGCAUAGUAGCCUAGUUCUACUAUGAGCCGGCUACUAUGGCUAUUAAUUGUACGAAGCACUUGGUGCUACCCAAGUUUUCCGCCGUUAGAGUCUAUCCCUUUUGAACAUUUUUCACGAUCCGUUAGAUCAUUCUAAUUCAACCAACCACCCACCAAACCCUUAAGGGGGGGGGCCCCAAUAUCAUCCUUAACGCACAUCUCUUAAUCAAUGCCGAAAACUGGGUAGCGACAAUGACUUGGUGCUAUUUAAUAGCAAUACCUAGUUCUAUAUGAGUCCGGCUAACUAUGCUAUUAAUAGUAUGAAGCACUUGGUGCUAACCAAGUUUUCCGUAGCCGUUAGAUCUACCCUUUUGACAUUAUCAUCCCGUUAGAUAUACUAUUCAUGCUAGUUAGAGUGUAAAACGGCCGGGCAGCCGGCCGCCCGGCCCGCACGGAUAUUGUACAUUCGCGGGCGGGCUCGGGCCGGCAGGCUCUUCGGGCCGUGCUGGGCUGCAUUUUCUGGGGCCGACGGCCAGGCAUGAGGAGAGCCGUUGGCCGCACAGCAGGCCCGGAACCCCUAGACCCAAGGCAAGUCUUGGCCGUGUCCCGGGGGACCUUGCGUUGGAUAAAAUCGUUUAUUUUAAAUAAUUUCGUAGCCGAUCUUAUUCAGCCAACAAACAUGCGAAAUUUUUGAAUAAAAUUUUUUUGCCAAAUAAUUGCCGAAUUAUUCGUGUUUAUUGAAAAAACUGCACUCUCUUAAUCGCAAUCCAAAACUGGGUACACCAUGACUUGGUGCUAUUAUCGCGAUAGUAACCUAGUUUAUAUAUAUAUAUAAAUAUAUAUUAUAUAUAAUAUAUAUAUAUAAUAUAUAUUAUAUAUACAAAAUGAUAAGCCAAAAGCUGUUUAAUUAAAAAAUGAAAAUUCCCCUAACUAUAUAUUCGGAGGCAAUUAACUAUAUCUGAACAUCAUAAUUUAUCUCUAAGUAAAUUUAAUAGUUUAUUUUAGAUGGCUAUUUUUGAUGUCCUAGUUUAGCAUUAGAGUUCCUGCAAACCCAAAAAAACAAAAAAUUAUAACUAAACUAAAACUGAGCUGAAAUUUCUUUGAGUACGGAUUUUUACAGUUUGAGCGUGGAAAACUUAACGAUCCAUAAUUUUUCGCUCGAGUGUUUGUUUAUUAGUGUACAAUCUCAAUUCAAAAAACACCAUUCUAGAGAAUCUAUGCAAGAGCAACACAACGUGGUUUGAACCGAUUUUGGGAUCCAAAUUUUGGGAUCCGAAUUCAACUGUUAGGUCUCUGUUUUUAUAUUAUUAAAUUAUUUUGAAAAAUUCUUAGGUCUCUGUUUCCUUUUUUUUUUUUCCGCCUCCUUUUUUUUCACAUUCAUUGUGUCAUUGAGAGAUAGACAAAACGUUCUGUAGACACAACCUCUAAACUACAACGAUCAAGCACACACUCUGCUCAUGCAAAAUACACACUCCCAGCAGCGCAUCUCACCCCUGCCGUGAUCGAAAUCGGAUCCGAAACACUGCGUGAUCUCUCGAUACCGGGUAGAUCAGACUGUCUCCUCUUUCGCGAUCUCGUACUCCACGUAUCUUAUGCCCAAUGCCUCGCAGUCGCUCUCCGAAUCGUGGCUGCAGGCCUCAUUCAGCUCCCCCGCACGGCACGACUGCACCGCCGUCAUCUGCGCCGUCCGCAGAAGCAUGUUGUCAGCCCCGCUCGUGAAGCCAUCAUCGCGUCGCACGAGUUCACAACCUCACGCGAACUCGCGACGUCCCCCGUUGCCUCCGUCGCGCCGACACCACUCUGAAUCUCGCUCUUCGCCAUCGACAUCCCCACCUUCCUUUCUCGUUCAUCACGACCUCUGACGCGCUCUUUCGUCAGCAGCAUCAGUAGUCUCGGAUUUCGCCUCUUAUCUACCUCGCUCUCUUCAGCGGGGGGAAGCAUUGUCUCAGGAACUCCUUGAAGUCGCUCACUGGAAUAGUUAUUUGGAGAUAUCGAGGAUCAAUGCCCGAGCUCUUUGUGCUAUUUUAGUCCACAUGAACGAAGGGGAAGCAAUGAACUCGCUCUCGCCGUCGAGGUCGAUGAUCGAUAUUUGAGAGUUGCAGUUAGCAUUGGCGUGGUACUUCAUGAAUCCAUUGCCAGUGAAGUUCGUGACGAGGAACCGAACGCUCGCCGUUAUAUUCGGCGAGAGUGAUUAGAGGGGGAUCAGAAUGUCGUGAAGUCGUGGAAGAGAUUUCCGACGAACCCGCCCGUCGAAGAAGACGAUCGCCGGGACUUCCGUGCCUGGAAGUGCAGAAGGGAUCUGAUCAUUUGCCGGAGAAGAAUUAUGUGAGUUCUUGAUUGAGUCCAUGGUGUUCUGCUCGCCACUUUUCGCGCGUACGGCCUGAUCUUGUAUGAUGGAUGAGAGGUGUUGUUGUUGUUGUCGAAGGCCGCCGAGAUGAUGACCAAAACGCGACAAUUUGAUAUCGCGUGGUCGCCAGGUAACAAGUGUCAGAUCUUUGUUUGGCGAGUAGUCGCAAACCGAUUUUGUUCUUUGGAUUUAAACAUCUGUGUUUGACAGAGAACUGUAUAUUAGAAUAUAUGUGAUGGAUAAAAUACACAACACAAUUCUUUUUUCGGCUUAAUGAAGACAGCAGGUAGGCUUGCUACUUUUAUAUUCUCAAAGAAAAAAAAAAGAAGAAGAUAAAUAACCAUCUUUUGUAAAGCUGAUUCUAAUUGAUACAAAAAAUUAUCUAAUAUAUCACCCUUUUUUCCCAUUUUUGUUUAUUAAGGCUAUUGACAAAAGGUAAUUUUUUCUUGUAUCUACCAAAUGCAUAAGCUUAGAUAUCUUUAAAUAUACUUGGGGCAUGAUAUAUAGCAUUGAAUAUAUAUGGAUGCAGGCAGAACCUAUUAUAUACGUACCCUUGGGGUUGAUUUUUUUUUUUUUUGAGAGGAUAGGUAGUACGCGCUACCCGCUUGUUAUUUUAUUAGAAAUAAACUUAGCGUAGAAAUGAAUCAUUAGGAUUCGAACUUGGGUCUCAGGGUACCAACGCAAGCCUUGCCACUUGCCUAAGGGACCGGUCGGUCUGGGUGAUUCUUGCUCCUUAUUUUUGUCUCAUGGGACAGGCUCAUUAGAGCAACAACAAAAUCCUUUUUCUUUGGCUUCUCCUUCGUACCAAUGUUGACUCGAAAGAUUGAUCUUAUGAAAGGAGCAUAGAAAUUUUUUCAUUUAACAUUCCACUUACGUGCACGCUGGAUAUAAAAGGUAUAUAGAGGUGAAAAUUUUCACACCGUUAAUUAAAUAUUAAGUGCGGAAUUGAAUCCGUGAUUCCCCGCUAAAUAUUUAAAGUGGGGAUUGAUUUCACGGACCUUAAGAAUGAAGGAAGUUUAAAUAGUUCUGACAUCAUGUUCAAUAAAAUAUAAUCAACUUUAGUUCCAAAGCUAAAUAUUUAUAUUGACUAUUCCUCGGCUCAUGAGUUUGGGCACAGAAUAUUUUUCAAUAGCCCAAGGUGUGGACUUUGAAUUAAAUGAGAAAAAAGUUGUAAAUAUUAAGAGCUGACGAAACUUCAAACUCAGAGCCUCCCAGUUGAUACCAUAUUUAAAUUAAAUGAAAUAACCGUUGUUCUAGGUCAAAAUCUUUAGCUUUUGAAAAUAACGAUUGUUUCGUAUUAUUUAACACAGAUAAAGAAAAGGUUAUUACAUUCGUAUAUGCGCUAGGAUUUUCUACCUUUGAUGGUUGUCUGCUUUCUUAUCUCUAUCUCCAGACUCUUAGACGCAACAAUCUUCUUUUUUCUGCUUUCUCCUUCGCAUUACGAAUGAACAUCGCCAUUUUGAAUUCUGAAAUUUCAUAAUGCACUGCAACAAAUUUAAUCACAUUUUUUUCUCUCGCAAAAAGAAAAAUAGUUUGUUUGACGCUUCGUACGUCGCCACAAAUUUCCACUGACACAUGCAAAGUCGAAAACAUGUUCUUAGUUAUAUAAAAGGUACAAUUGCCACCGGCGCUAUACCUCGCGGGCUAUGCCAUUUCCAUCCUCCUUGGCUUCGAUCGUAGAUCUUAUCUGCGAUAUGAAUUUACAGUUUACCGAACGUAAUUCGCUCUAAAAUCCAUCUUUUUGUGAGAACGAAUAAUAGAUAGUCCUUUUAAAAACCUAGGUUUAGCAUCUAUGAGGAAACCAUGGGUGCUAGCUUCAAUGUGAGCUAGAUCCAUCAUCUCUAAACUCAUUAGGUUCCGUUUGAACCAAUAAAAGCAACAAAACCCAUCAAACCCUAGAAAUCCAAAACUAGGGUUAGAGCUUACCUCUAGGAUUUGCUCCAAAAUAAACUUUAGCUUGAUGGAGAGGAGGGAGAAGAGCUUCUUAGUCUUCUCCUUGAUCUUCUCCUUCCUUUCUCUCCUUAUCUUCUUCUUCUUUCUUCCUCUUUUCUUCUUCUCCUUCUUUUUCUCCUUCAACCGGUUAGAGAGAGAGAGAGGGAGCUAGAGAGAGAGAGAGGCUGUGAGAGUGGGAGAGGGCACAGCUGAGGAUAGGAGGGUUAAGUCCUCUAUUGUAACAAUGUGCUAAAAAGCCCUCCAUUUAUCAGAUUUUGCAACUUAACCCGCUACCUGCGCGCCCUUGUACCGGUACACGGGACCUUGUACCGGUACAAGGCCUUAUACCGAGCGCAAAUCGAGCCUCGGGUUUCUGUGUUUCGCAGAGCUUGUACCGGUACAAGCCAGCCUUGUACCGGUACAGCGCCUGAAGCCUUCGAACCCGAGAGCUACGCAGCCUGGCUGCGAUGGCUGUACCGGCACAGCCAUCACCCUUGUACCGGUACAGCAGCUCCAGAAUGCUGUUUUAACUUCGUUUCGGCUCCACUUCGCGCCGAUCGAUGUCCAAGCUAUUCCAACGCCUUUAGAACUCAUUUUUGCUCUUCCAAAUUGUUGGAAUACCGAAUGGAACUUGUCCAAAUCGUUCAAUCGCCCACUUUGAUCCAUUUGGCCAAAGUUAGCCAAUAUCGUCGAAAUUCGAUAUCUCACAUUCUCCACCCCUUAAAAGGAGUUUCGUCCUCGAAACAACUCAACUCUUAAAUCGAACUUAAACUCUUACCUCAAUCCUUGAACAAGUGAGGAUGAUUCGCUUUCAUCCGGUCCUCGAGUUCCCAAGUGGCUUCGCGAUCGUCGUGAUUGCUCCACCGGACUUUAACAUAGGAAAUUUCUCGAUUCCUUAGCUUACGCACCUCUCGAGCCAAAAUCUCUACCGGAAACUCUUCAUAGCUCAAAUCAUCUUGAAGUUCCGGCGGCUCAUAAAGCAUCGCAUGCUCGGGGUCGUAAAUAUACUUGCGAAGAUUGGAGACGUGGAACACAUUGUGCACACCCGCAAGCUUUGGGGGCAAUGCAAGUCGAUACGCCACCGUCCCAAUUCGCUCCAAAAUCUCGUAGGGGCCAAUGUAACGAGGACUCAACUUUCCUCGUACCCCAAAUCGUUUCACGCCUCGCAUCGGCGAAACCUUCAAGAAUACGCGGUCACCCACCGCGAACUCCAAAUCUCGCCGGCGUCUAUCCGCAUAGCUUUGCUGUCUCGACUGCGCCGUAAGCAAUCUCUUGCGAGCAAGGCGGACUUUCUCUUCCACUUCUCGCAACACAUCCAGGCCGAACUCCGCACGCUCACCUACAUCGCUCCAGUGUAUAGGAGAUCGACAUAUCCGUCCAUAGAGGACCUCAAACGGUGCCAUCUCCACACUAGCAUGAUAACUAUUAUUGUAGGCGAACUCGGCCAUCGUUAGGUGGUCACACCAACUUUCUUUAUAGUCAAUGACACACGCUCGCAACAUAUCCUCCAGAGUUUGAAUGGUUCUCUCCGUUUGCCCAUCGGUCUGGGGAUGAAAUGCGGUGCUAAAGUCCAGCCGUGUGCCAAGGGCUUCCUGCAGGCUCUUCCAAAAAUGCGAAGUGAAUCGGGGGUCACGAUCCGACACGAUAGUUUUCGGCACCCCAUGCAGUCUCACUACCUCGUCAAGGUAUACCUGCGCUAACUUGUCACCCGACCACGUGGUAUGGAUCGGUAAGAAGUGAGCCGACUUCGUCAAUCGGUCCACAAUUACCCAAAUUGCAUCGUGGCCGCCCUUUAAGCAGGGUAAGCCGACCACGAAGUCCAUCGAUAUAUCCUCCCAUUUUCAAACGGGGAUUGGUAGGCUUUGAAGCUUUCCCGCUGGAAAUCGAUGCUCGGCCUUCACUUGUUGGCAUGCAAGGCACUUCGCCACAAAGCGCCCGAUGUCAGCUUUCAUUCCCGGCCACCAGUAGUGCAUUUUUAGGCCUUGGUACAUCUUGGUGCCGCCCGGGUGACCACCAUACGGGGACCAAUGCGACUCCUGGAGUAUAAGCUUGCGAAGCUCCCCAUUAGCGGGUACACACCUCCGAUUCCGAAACCGAAGCGUACCAUCGACGUCUACAUUGAACUCGCCGCCAUGACCUUCCUCGAUGUUUCGCCGCACCUUUUGGAGUUCUGGGUCCACAAGUUGCAGAUCUUUGAUCCUCUCCAACAAGGUCGGUUGGACAACGAGUGCCAUCAACUGAAUCGGGACCUCGGGAGCAACCACUUCAAGGUCCAAUCGCUCCAUAUCCAGCCCUAGGGGUUUUUGCUGGGUAACAUCAAAAGCGAGGUUCUUCGCCGUCUUCCUACUCAGCGCAUCCGCGACCACAUUAGCCUUCCCGGGGUGGUAAAGGAUAUCAACGUCAUAAUCCUUCAAUAGCUCCAACCACCGCCGCUGACGCAUAUUGAGCUCUUUCUGUGUGAACAGAUACUUCAAGCUCUUAUGGUCGGUGUAGAUCUCGCAAUGAGCACCAUAUAAAUAAUGUCUCCAAAGCUUUAAGGCAAAGAUUACCGCCGCCAACUCUAGGUCGUGAAUGGGGUAAUUCUUUUCAUAGCUCUUAAGCUGACGAGAUGCAUAAGCGAUAACCUUCCCGCCCUGCAUCAGCACACACCCCAAGCCCAGAUAAGAAGCAUCACUGUAGACGACGUAGUCCUGCCCUUGCACCAGUAAGGCGAGUACCGGAGUCAAAGUUAACCUCUGCUUCAACUCUUUAAAGCUCCGGUCACACUCGUCACUCCAAACGAACUUGGUGCCUUUUUGCGUCAAACGGGUAAGUGGAGUCACAAUCUUAGAGAACCCCUCCACAAACCGUCGAUAAUAACUGGCUAGGCCCACAAAACUACGGACCUCGGUAACAUUCGUCGGCCGCGGCCAAUUCUCAAUAGCCUCCACUUUCCUCGGGUCAACUAAAACUCCACCCUCGGAAAUAACAUGCCCGAGAAACGCAACCUCUCGAAGCCAAAAGUCGCAUUUCUUCAGCUUUGCGUACAAUGUCUUCUCCCGAAGAAUCUGAAGUACUGCGCGCAAAUGCUCCGCGUGCUCCUCGUCGCUACGCGAAUAUACCAAAAUAUCGUCUAUGAAGGCUACGACAAAUCGGUCCAAGCACCCCUGGAACACUCGGUUCAUCAAGCUCAUAACGCUGCCGGGGCAAUCGUGAGCCCAAAUGGCAUCACCGUGAACUCGUAGUGUCCAUAACGCGUGCGGAACGUCGUCUUCUGAACAUCUUCCGGCUUGAUCUUUAACUGGUGAUAGCCGGACUGAAGGUCGAUCUUAGAAUACACUCGCGACCCCUACAACUGAUCAAACAAGUCAUCAAUACGGGGUAGCGGGUACUUGUUCUUCCCCGUGACCUUGUUCAACUAGCGGUAAUCCACGCAGAGUCGAAAUGACCGAUCUUUCUUGCGCACAAAUAAUACCGGGGCACCCCACGGCGAAACACUCAGCCUAAUGAAUUCCUUGUCGAGAAGAUCCUGCAAUUGAUCUCUCAACUCCCUUAGCUCGGCCGGCGCCAUGCGAUACGGGGCCUCAGAAAUCGGCGCUGUCCCAGGAACCAAGUCGAUCAUGAACUCGAUCUCCCGGUCUGGCGGCAUACCCGGUAACUCCGCGGGAAAAACGUCGGGGAACUCCCGCACAACCGCCAACUCCUCGAGGAUUGGAACUGCUCGGUCAAUCUCCACAACGGUCGCCAAAUAAGCGAUGCAACCGCUGUUCACCAGCUUCCUCGCUCUAGUCGCCGAUACCAUCGCGGCGAAACACGAGCUCUUACAAGCUCAAUAGGUAAACUCUUCCUGUCCCGGCUCCCGAAAUGUAAUAACUCGAGUCGGGCAAUCGAUCGAUACAUAGUACUUCGAGAGCCAAUCCAUGCCCAAUAUGACAUCGAAUUCCUUCAACUUCUUGAGCACCAACAAGUUGAUCGGCAUAACCCAGUCAUUCACUCGCACUGGACAUGCCAAGCAUCACUUCCUAAUCAGAAAGGAUCACCCGGGGCCCUCAACAUGUCAAACGUGCUCCCCAAGACGAUACUCAAUAUCAUGCGCUCGUGCAAAUGAUCGACUAAUGAAUGAGUGUGAUGCACCUGUAUCAAACAAAGCUCUAGCUCGAACAUCUUUAACCAAAAUUAUACCUGCCACAACAUUGCGCUCGCCGGCCUCUGAAGGCUCCUCAAUGUGAGCGGGUGCAGCAUACAUCCUUCCGCUCGGCGCAGAUCGUGCAGGCUCUGGUUGGCGUGGCGCCGCCGCUCGCCCAGUAGAUGCUGCAGGAGAGGGCAGAGCAUAGCGAGCUGGAACCGCCGGGGCCGAUGCAGUCGACAUAGCGGGCGAAGCUUCUCCCUGAGGACAGUCGCAAAUCUGAUGUCCCGCUUGCCCGCACUUGAAGCACCUCCCUCGGCGCUACUCACAAACACCCGGCCGGUGGUCUCCGCCGCAGAAGACGCAUCGCUGAGCACCACGACCCUUGGGCUGUGAGCGUUGAUACUUCGGGGGCCUCCUGGAGCUCGACUAGCCACCCGAUCCACCGCCCUGUCUUUUCUUGCCUUUAUCCUUGUCAAACGCCUCACGGUCCUCACGCUCGCAAGCGUUCUCGUGCUCGACCCAUAGCGCGAGAUCUAGUGCUCCCGCCAAAGUGUGGAACUUGAAGGCAUGCACCAACUUGAACACUCCGGGCCGAAGACCUCGAACGAAGCAAUCCGCCCGGUCUUGCUCUGUCGCCGCUACAUCCGGGACGCAGCUCAGGAGAUGGGUGAACUCCCGCUCGUACUCCCGAACUGUGCAGUUGCCUUGCUUGAGCUUGCGGAAAUCUUCCCGCAUCUUCCUCUUAUCACUGUCGGGGACGUACUCGGCGAACAUCAGCUUGCGGAACUCCGCCCAAUCGAUCGGGGGAAGCUCCAGGGAUCGGUCCUGCUUGACCCUCCACCACCAAGUCUUGGCCCGCUUCUCAAAGCAAUGCGCGGCCAAGUUCACCUUGUCCUUCUCCAAGGUGAAAAUGUCCUCAAAUAGGGUCUCCAUAGUCGUCAGCCAAGACUCCACCGCAGCUGGAUCCACCACCUCUCCGUCGAAAGUAGGCGGGCGAAACUUCGUGAACCUCGUGAGCGCCACGUAGCCUCGCUCACGCUCCGCCUCCUCAGCCGCCACCGCGGGGGUAGGAGAACUCGAACUAACCGGAGGAAUAUCCACCGGUGGGGGUUGCGCCGCCACCGGAACCGAAAUGCCACCCACACCCUCGGCCGCAUCAGGGGCGCGAAUCGAAGGCGCAGGCGGACCGCGGCCUGGAUCCGCUGCCGCAGCCGCCGCCGCAGCCUGCUGCUCCAGCAGCUCCUGAAUCCUAUCGAAUCGUCCAGUGAGCGCCACAACAUGCGCUCGCAACUCCUGCACCUCAGUAGGCCCAGCUGGCACUGGCGCCACUGGAGGCACGGCUGUCUCGGGCACCUCUCGAGGUGGUGCCGGAGCGGUCCUACGCACGUAGCGUCUCUUUGGUGCCAUAGCUCCUGAAACGCAAACCGUUGGUUAAUUACUUAACUCGACAACAUCGUCGUAAACACGAAGUAUAACGAUUAAACAACAUCAAUCAGGCGGUAGCUUGCAAGUGUCUUAGUUCUCGACUCUCGGCAUCGUGUUGUCGGCCGCCAACACAAUCACCUUAAGUCAAAAAUUAAUACCACUUGGAUCAUCUCUAGCCAUAACUAGAGUCUCAACAACUCCAAACCCAAUCAUUUAGCUUCCGCCGCGUCAUAGAUUCACGUCGCACUCACGCACCUAUAACCUUAGGGUUAACCAACCUAGAGUCUCCUAGGUCAUCCUAGACUCUCUCUUUUGCUUGCUCUUAACUCGCUCUGAUACCACUAAACUGUCACGUCCCUGACCGCACCACCCGAAAACGGUACCAAUUUGGUCCGGUUCGGGGGCGGCGGGCGCGACCGCCGGACGGACGGAGUUUCCCCUGUCCGCCGAAGGCUAAGCAACAGAUUGUGUACAACAAGUCCCCAGGAAUACAACUUGAAUACAUACACAAUCAAACAACGAUAAUCGAGAGCACAAACAGUGCUACGACCAACUAGAGCAAGCGAUACCAGUAAAACCAUACAAGUUUAUACAAAGAGAGCAACUUAGCUAUUUGAGACAUCAUUGAAACAUUAACCUCUUUCGAUUUCAUUUAACUUUAAACAUUUGAUACAACUUGCGUUCUUUAUCCAAAAUGAAUAUAAAUCAUAAGCUCUCCAAAUCUCACUCUAUACAAAAACUACUCUCAAAUGUAUAACCAAAAGUACGGUAGAGCUAAUGCAAGUAGGAAGGUAAAGCAAUCAACAACUGCUAGGGCGCUAUGCCCUUGCGCGCAUCAUCGACGAAGGCCCGCUGUCCUGUAUACCUGUACCCCCAGAGCCACACGGGGUGAGAACUACAUAGUUCCCAGUGGGUUCGGCCGCGACUCCGCCGAUCUAACCACUAGGUCUCAAGUAGGCAUAGAGAAUAUAUACUGCAAUAUAUAUAUAAAACAAAGUUGACGGGAAAGCGAGUAUGUAAAACUAAUCAAGCUAUGACCUCAAUCUGGAAUCAUGAAUGCAUGAACAAUAAACAAAGCUGUGGUAAAUAAGCAACUAUCAACAUACUACAACAGCUAUCAUAGUAACUAUAAACAUGCUACUAGGUAAGCAGUAAGCUGAUAUGAACAAUGAAUAGCUUACUAUGACAUCAAUAAUGGGUAAGACUCAAUGGGUAACCCAAUCUCCAAAUGAACACAAGGUUCACAAGCAAGGCUCACAUAUGCAAUCUCCUAGGGAUGUCGAGCUGGACUAUCCCCGAGUACGCCUGCGGAUAACAAGCGGCUAUCCGAGCAGCAAGCAGGGCUGCUCUCUAGUGACCAAAUCUCCGGAGCGCACAACUUGAGGGAGCGACCCACCAAGCCAGACAGGCAAUUGAGCCAAGAUUCAUCACGAGCAACAAACAACAACCCUUUGAGGGAAUAUCAUCAUGGAAGCGAGGGUAUACAUGUACCCAAUCUCAUGGUGUCUCAACUACACUAAUGUGAUCAUCAAGGAAACAUCAACAAUGUCAUUCAUCAUGUUUUUCUAACAGAUGCCACUUGUUCAUAGUUUUCUUAACUAGAUGCACUCGGCUCAAUUUGACUCAUUAUCAACACUAGUUUCCUCAUACUAGUUCUUAGCAACAUAAGCAUUAACAUUUCAUAUAGGGUCUAGAUUUUCAUCAAGCAACCUCAUGCAUACUAGAUCUAAAACCAACCAAGCAAUAUAUAUAUUAUUGAACUAAUAGUAUGCAAGUAUAAGCACAAUAAUCAUUUUCAACCCUAUAUGUAUUAUGCACAAUAUGCAAAUGAUCAAUUAAACUUAGACAUAGGAAGGUGGCGAUGACUUCGGGAUGGCACUCCCCCACCUUGGGUGAUGCGCAAACACUCCGAGACCGGCUUCUCGUGCUAGUCUUGUCGCCGCUUAAUUUUCGUUGGUUAACUUUAACCCUUUAGCGACUCGAAUAGACGGAUAUCUUCGCGCCCACUCGUCGGAUCGACGAACGUCUGCCUACGCGUUUUAUAAGCAUAAGAAAUUAGGUUUCUAACCCCUCAAAAGAGAUCAAUCCCUCACAUUUUCAAAAUCCCCAAAAUUUAACCCUAGGUUGGGAUCCAUGAGAGGUUAUGGAUUAUAGUUCAAUGUGAGCUAAUCCAUGUUCUCUAAGCUAUUAGGUUCCAUUUGAACCAUCAAAAGCAACAAAAACCAUAAAACCUAGAAAUCACAAGUUACCAUGAAAGGGGUUGGAGGCUUACUCUAGGGUUUGCUCCAAAGCAAGCCCUAGGCCAAAAACGAGAUGAGAAGGGCUUCAAAACUCUUCUCUCUUCUCCUUCCUUUCUCCUCUCUUUUCUCUCUUUUCUUCUUCUUUUCUCCAACGGUUAGAGAGAGAGAGAGAGCUUAGAGAGAGAGAGGGGCUGUGGGGAGUGAGAGAGGAGAGAGCUGAGGGCAUGAGGGUUAAGUCCUCUAUUGUAACAAAAUGCUAAAAAGCCCUCAUUUUAUCAGAUUUUGCAACUUAACCCGCUGCUGCGCGCUCGUGUACCGGUACACGGGUUUGCGUACCGGUACGCGCCCUGCGUAACGGCCAAACCCGAGAGCAAACCCGAGGGCUGCGCAGCCUGGCAGCAAUGGCUGUACCGGUACAGCCAUCAUGCGUGUACCGGUACACCAGCUCCAGAAAGCUGUUUUCAGCCUCGCUUCGGCUCCACUUCGCGCCAAUCGACGUCAAACCCAUUCCAACACCUUUGGAACUCAUUUUAGCUCUUCCAAACUCGUUGGAAUACCGAAUGGGACUUGUCCCAACUUCCGAUCGCUCACUUUGGUCCAUUGUGCCAAAGUUAGCCGUUUUCGUCGAAUUUCGAUAUCUUACACCCGUACUACCCAGACUAUCACCGGUUAAGCAACUUGAUAGAGGCCAAACCUGAGAGCUGGCUUCUAGGGUGGCCUGCCUGGUACCGGUACUGCCCUGGUGCUUCACUGGUUAAGUAGUGCCCAGACUGCAGUUUGGGCAGUGUUUGGCUCCAAUUCGCGCCGAGCAAUGCUAAAACUCUUCAAUCGCAUUCGAAAUUUAACUCUAACCCCUCCAACACUGUUGGAGUGUCAAUUGGACUUUGUCCAACCAUUUCUCUCACCAAAUUUUGGUCAAUUUGACUAAAGUUCGAUAUAGCCUACCGAGGUUUCGAUAUAUUACAUUCUCCACUGCUUAAAAAUAGUUUUGUCCGUGAAACUAAACACAUACCUUAGCUUGUCGACUCGAAUAAGUGAGGAUACAUCUUUCGCAUUGUCUCCUCAAGCUCCCAAGUGGCUUCACGCACUGCAUGAUUGCUCCACUGGACUUUAACGUAGGGGAUUGUGCGACUUCGCAACCUCCUUUCUUCUCUACCGAGGAUACACACCGGGUACUCCUCAUAGGUCAUGUCCUCGCGUAACUCCACGGGCUCAUACUCUACCACGUGAGUCGAAUUGCGGAUAUACUUGCGGAGAUUCGACACGUGAAACACAUUGUGAACUCCCGCAAGCCUCGGUGGUAAUGCAAGCUUGUAUGCCACCGCACCGACCAGCUCCAAUAUCUCGAACGGUCCAACAUACCGGGGACUUAGCUUCCCAUGGACCCCAAAUCAUUUUACACCUCGCAUAGGUGAUACUUUCAAGAACACGCGGUCUCCAACCGCGAACUCUAAAUCUUUUCUAUGUUUGUUGGCAUAGGUUUGCUGUCUUGAUUGCGCCGUCGCAAGCCGUUGACGAGCAAGGCGAACUUUCUCUUCCGCCUCUCGCAACACAUUGGGACCAAGAGUAACUCUCUUACCCACUUCGCUCCAAUGGAUAGGAGAACGACACUUCUUUCCAUACAAAGCUUCAAAUGGCGCCAUCGCGAUGCUUUCUUGAUAGCUAUUAUUGUACGCGAAUUCUGCCAUCGGCAAAUAAUCGUGCCAUCCGCCCUUGUAAUCAAGUACACACGCUCGAAGCAUGUCCUCAAGGAUUUGUAUUGUCCUUUCUGAUUGACCGCCACUUUGAGGAUAGAAUGUCGUAAGUUGAGCCAUGUGCCCAAAGCGUCUUGCAAGCUCCUCCAAAAAUAAGAUGUGAACCUAGGGUCUCGGUCCGAUACUAUAGACACCAGAACCCUAUGAAGUCUCACAACCUCGUCAAGAUAUACUUAAGAUAACUUAUCUCCGGACCAUGUAGUGUAGAUCGGCAAGAAGUGUGCCGAUUUCGUCAAUCGAUCCACUAUUACCUAAAUUGCAUAGUGUCUGCCUUGAGAUCGAGGCAAACCGAUCACAAAAUCCAUUGCGAUGUCCUCUCAUUUCCAAACGGGUAUUGAUAGACUUUGCAACUUUCCCGCCGAAAACCGGCGCUCCACUUUUACUUGUUGGCACGUAAGACAUUGCGCUACGAACUCCCCAAUAUCUCUUUUCAUGCCCGGCCACCAAUAAUGCACUUUUAGGUCUUGGUACAUCCUUGUGCCCCCCGGGUGAAUACUAUAGGGAGAUUGAUGCGCCUCUUGCAUAAUCGCCUUUCGAAUGUCCUCAUUUUUAGGCACACACCAACGAUUUCGGAAUCGAAGUACGCCAUCGGUCCCAAUGCCAAAAUCAUCGGCACUACCGUUUUUAACUUCACCAUGCACCUUUUGAAGAUAUGCAUCAAAAGCUUGUUGCUCUUUAAUCUUCUCCAAUAAGGUUGGUCGCACAACCAAUGUAGCAAGAGUAGCCGGCACUCCCAGAGCUACCACUUCAAGACCAAACAGUUGCAUCUCUUUUUGCAAUAAUGGUUGGGGUGUAAUUGCCGUAGCCAAGUUUUUCACCGAUUUUCUACUUAGAGCAUCGGCCACGACAUUUGCUCUUCCGGGGUGGUAUAGAAUAGUGAUGUCGUAGUCCUUUAGUAACUCUAAUCACCGCCGCUGUCGCAUAUUUAAUUCUUUUUCGGUGAACAAGUAUUUAAGACUCUUGUGAUCUGUGUAGAUCUCACAAUGCUCACCGUACAAGUAAUGCCUCCACAACUUUAGCGUGAAAAUCACCGCGGCUAGCUCAAGGUCAUGAAUUGGAUAGUUCUUUUCAUAACUCUUCAAUUGACGAGAAGUAUAAGCUAUAACUCGACCAUUUUGCAUCAAGACACACUCGAGACCAAUAUAUGAAGCAUCACUGUACACUACAAAGCUCUCCCCCGGAGUCUGUAGAGCAAGCACCGGGGUCUAUGUCAAUCUUUCCUUUAAUUCCUCGAAGCUCCGAUCGCAAUCGUCGCUCCAAACGUACUUCACCCCUUUGUGCGUAAGGAGCGUUAGUGGAGUAGUUAUUUUAGCAAACCCCUCCACGAACCGCCGAUAGUAUCCCGCAAGUCCAAGAAAGCUACGGAUCUCCACAACACGGGCGAGGCCAAUCCCUAAUUGCCUCGACUUUCUUCGGAUCCACCGAGACGCCGCUCCGGGAUAUCACAUGGCCUAGGAAGGUAACCUCCGAAAGCCAAAAAUCACAUUUCUUUAGCUUGGCAUAAAGCUUCUCUUUUCGAAGUAUUUGCAACACGGUUCUCAAAUGCUACUUGUGUUCCUCCUCGCUCCGAGAAUAAACCAACACGUCGUCAUGAACACCACGACGCAUCGAUCCAAUAACGGUCGAAAGACUCGAUUCACCAAGUCCAUAAAUGCUGUCGGGGCAUUAGUAAGCCCAAACGACAUUACCGUGAACUCGUAGUGGCCAUACCGCGUACGAUACACCGUUUUGUGCACAUCCUUCGGCCUGAUCUUCAACUGAUGAUACCCCGACUGAAGAUCAAUCUUUGAGUAUACCCGCAACCCUUUCAACUGGUCGAAUAGAUCAUCAAUCCUCGGUAACGGGUACUUGUUCUUGAUUGUCACUUUGUUCAACUCGCGAUAAUCCACGUAGAGUCGAAGUAUGACAUCCUUUUUCUUCACAAAUAGCACCGGAGCUCCCCACGGUGAUACGCUCGGCCUCACAAAGCCUUUAUCGAGCAAGUCUUGCAAUUGGGUUUUUAGCUCUACUAGCUCCGCCGGUGCCAUUCUAUACGGAGCCUUCGAAAUUGGCGCUGCCCCGGGAACCAAGUCAAUGCCGAACUCAAUCUCCCGGUCUGGUAGCAAUCCUGUAGCUCCGCCGGAAAUACAUCCGGAAAUUCACAUGCUACCCGAAUGUUCCCAAGUUCCGGGAGCUCCCUUUGAGUCUCUACCAUUGUCGCCAAAUAGGCCACACAUCCACCUUUAAUCAUCUUCCUCGCCCUCGCCGCCGAUACUGUCGCCGCGAAACGCGAGCUUUUACAUGCGCGAUACACUAACUCCUCUUGGUUAGGCUCACGAAAAGUGAUCACCUUGCUCUCGCAGUCGAUAACCGCAGAGUAUUUGGAGAGCCAAUCGAUCCCCAAAAUUACAUCGAAGUCCCACAUUUGGUUUAGGACUAGCAAGCCUCCCGGCAUAAUCCAAUUACCUAUCUGAACCAGACACGCCGCGCACUCCACGUGAAUACUAAAUGAAUGCUCUGGUGCAUUAACCCACCAAUAAUCCGGGCUAUACAACACCUCGAUGCCAUGAGUUUUUUCAAAUGAUGCACCAAUGAAUGAAUGAGAUGCGCCUAUGUCAAAUAAAGCUCUAGCUCUAGUACCAUUGAUCAAAAUAAUACCUGCCACGACAUCAUCUGAAACGGCAGGCUCCUCCACCUGAGUGGCGAAAACCCGUCCACUCGGUGCUCGAGAUCCCUUCGUCUGACGCGGUGCUGAUGAGCGUCCCGCCGACAUAGGAGGUGGCAACCCCGCAAGCUGCCUCGGGGUAGAAGGAACUGAUGCCGCCGUCAGAGCAGAUGACGCCCAACUCGGGCACUCCCGAAUCAUAUGCCCAACUUGGCCGCACUUGAAGCACUUUCCCACGCGCUGUGGGCAAGCCGAUGGUCGAUGCUCACCGCCGCAAAUGAUACAUCAGGUAGGCCUCCAAUUUCUUGACUGCUGUCGGGGAUAUCGAGGGGGUUUUUUAGCAUUCGGCCGGUCCCCGUCACCACUCGCCGCCCGUUUCUUUCCUUUGUCCUUAGACUCGGCCAUAGACUCGCGCUCCUCUCGUGCAUAAGCAUUGCCGUGCUCCGCCCAUAAUGCUCUAUGAAAGAUCUCCACAAGGGUCGUAAGCUUAAAGAUUUGCACUAGGACGCAGUCAAUAAUGUGGGAAACUCCUGCUCAAAGUCUCCCAUUGAACGGUCUCCUUGCUUCAACUUGUGAAACCUGUCCUGUAGCUUUCGUUUCACUGUAUCGGGGAAAUAGUUCACGAACAUCAACCUCCGGAACUCCUCCCAAAGCAUAGGCGGAAGGUCAGAAGAUCGGUCACGCUUUACCCGUUUUCACCACACCUUCGCCGCCUUCUUCAAACAGUGAGUGGCGAGGUGCACUUUAUCCUUCUCCUAGGUAUAUAUAUCCUCGAAGAGUGCUUCCAUCGCAUCGAUCCAUGACUCCACCAUCGACGGCUCCACCUUUUCCCCGUCGAACGUAGGUGGGCUAAACUUCUUGGACAUAACAAGCGCCGCCAAUGCACGCUCCCGCUCCGCCUUUGUAAGGUACCGAACUUCUAAAAUCAUGAAGUUACGUUGUCCAUUUGGUUGGAGAGCCAUUUGAAUGGUUCCGGUAAAGUUGCGGUGUAAUGUAAUAUACCGGAUUUAAAUAUAAAAAUAAAAAUAAAUAAAAAUAGUAUGAGAUACUAUUUUUAUUGGAUUUGGAGAAGUAAAAUAUGAGUUAGAAAUGACUUGUGCUGAAAUUGGAAUGAAAACAGAAGAUUUAGAAUUUUCUGUGAGAGACGGGGCAGAUAAAUUAGCAGAAAAUGCACAGUCUCAGAAAAUUAUGAAAAUUGGAGGACAAGUCAGAAAUAUUUUUAUGAGGCUAGAUUUAAGGUUUCAUAUUUUUCUGACACCCGUAGAGUGAGAAAUAAAAUCCGACAGUUAUCUGAUAAAGAUUACAGUUCGGUACAGUUUUCAGUGACCAAACGGGGUCGAAACUGAAAAGUUAAGAUAUAUUCUUACUCAGUACGUUAAACUGAGUCUACCUGUCAAAUUUGAGCUCAAUCGGACAUUCAGAAGGGUUCCGAUGGAACUUAUCAGAUUUGAGGGACUAAACUGAAAAGUGGAAUAGUUGAGGGGGCUGCUUGUGGAAAAGAGCAUUGCUCUUCUUCUCCUCCCUCAACCUGCGUACACAACCAGCCCCAAACCGACACACCCACACACGCAUGGAUAGGAGAAGAGAACCCUCUCUUUCUCUCUCUAAAUCUCUCCCAAAAUUAAGGGAAUUAGUGGAGAUUGAAGCUUGGAGGUGAAUCGUCAUCAUCUUCUUCAUCUUCUCCAUGGAUUGAAGCUAGUUUUGAGGUAAGCUUUUGCUACCCUUUAAUGGUAGAUCUCUAGAUAUGGGGUUUUGAUCUCUAGAAAUGGAUUUAGAGCUAUUCUAGCAUGCUAAAUAGACACUUGAAUACCGUAUAGCCACAUGGAAUUGUGGACAAUACUCUUUUGAGAAUUGGAAGUCGAGAUAUGCCGGGGUAGGCCAUCUCGUGGUAGAGCAAGGUCCGAAUAUGGUUAGAACACUCGCGAUUGGGUGAUGCACCAAUGAUAUUGCUUUUGAGCAAUGUUGGUAGUCGAAUCGCAAUGCCCCGAGGGGGGAAAAGCAAAUGCAAAGAAGAGUUCUUGCAUGCCGAAUGGUGAGUGAUGUUGGAACGCGUAGAGUCGUUGAGCUUCGACUUGCGUAACCACCAAGAAUGACGGAGACCCGUAAUGCACUUUCGGAGUUACGCUUAGCGAAUGUGAGUGAAUCUGGUCUCACAUCCUCCUUAAUGGACCUCUAAGUUGUUCCAAUAAGUGAAAGACCGCUCCGAGAUGCGAAAGUGCAUUGGAACCCUCGAUUACUCGAUGAGUUAAAUUGAGGUGUGAGUUGGAGAUGGAGUUGAUUGAGUUUCGAGGACGAAACUCUUAUUAAGGAGGGGAGAAUGUAAGGUACCGAACUUCUAAAAUUAUGAAGUUACGUUGUCCAUUUGGUUGGAGAGCCAUUUGAAUGGUUCCGGUAAGGUUGCGGUGUAAUGUAAUAUACCGGAUUUAAAUAUAAAAAUAAAAAUAAAUAAAAAUAGUAUGAGAUACUAUUUUUAUUGGAUUUGGAGAAGUGAAAUAUGAGUUAGAAAUGACUUGUGCUGAAAUCGGAAUGAAAACAGAAGAUUUAGAAUUUUCUGUGAGAGACGGGGCAGAUAAAUUAGCAGAAAAUGCACAGUCUCAGAAAAUUAUGAAAAUUGGAGGACAAGUCAGAAAUAUUUUUAUGAGGCUAGAUUUAAGGUUUCAUAUUUUUCUGACACCCGUAGAGUGAGAAAUAAAAUCCGACAGUUAUCUGAUAAAGAUUACAGUUCGGUACAGUUUUCAGUGACCAAACGGGGUCGAAACUGAAAAGUUAAGAUAUAUUCUUACUCAGUACGUUAAACUGAGUCUGCCUGUCAAAUUUGAGCUCAAUCGGACAUUCAGAAGGGUUCCGAUGGAACUUAUCAGAUUUGAGGGACUAAACUGAAAAGUGGAAUAGUUGAGGGGGCUGCUUGUGGAAAAGAGCAUUGCUCUUCUUCUCCUCCCUCAACCUGCGUACACAACCAGCCCCAAACCGACACACCCACACACGCAUGGAUAGGAGAAGAGAACCCUCUCUUUCUCUCUCUAAAUCUCUCCCAAAAUUAAAGGAAUUAGUGGAGAUUGAAGCUUGGAGGUGAAUCGUCAUCAUCUUCUUCAUCUUCUCCAUGGAUUGAAGCUAGUUUUGAGGUAAGGUUUUGCUACCCUUUAAUGGUAGAUCUCUAGAUAUGGGGUUUUGAUCUCUAGAAAUGGAUUUAGAGCUAUUCUAGAAUGCUAAAUAGACGAUUGAUGCUUGAAUCAUAGAUCGAUUUAAUGAUUUAUUGCCUAGUUGUAACAUAGGGCUCUAAAAUGCAAGUUUUGCUACUAGUAGGGUUUGAUCUCAUUUAACCCUCUGUAAACCUAAUUGAUAGGUCACUGAACGCGUUGGAAGCGACGGUUCGGCGUUGGAAGCGACGGUUCGGCGAUUCGUCGAGCCGGUGCAAAGUUAUUAAAGAAACGGACGUUUAGGCUUCGUUUCCGCCUGGAGGGCCGAGGCGACGUCGUAAAAUCGUGGAAACGGAUUUGAAGCACCGUAGCGAGAAACCGAAGACCUAUAAUUUCCAGAUCGCGGAUCGGAGGUCGUUUGGUGGUCGCGCACCGAUUGGGUCGAGCCGAGCGGCGUGCGCCGCGGGAGGCCGAUUGCAAGUGACGACGAGCAAUCGGAACGCGGUAAAAGGUGGGGGAGUGCCAUCCCGAAGCAAUCGGGUUUCUCCUUAUGUCUAAGUAUUUCUAUGUUGAUCAAUUAUGCAUAUUGAGCAUGAUGCAUUAUAGGGUGAUAGUUGAUGGUUGGUUCUAUAUAUAUAUAUAUUGCAUGCUUCUUGAAAGAGUAAUGUAUUUGGCUUAGUGCUUAUAUCUAGCAUGCUUGAGGUUUAUAUAUGCGAUGUGAAACCCUAUAAGAAAUGAUAGGUGUAGAUGAGAACUUAGUAAUAUAUUGGCUAUUGCAUUGGAAACUUUAAACAUGUCAUUGAUCAAGUUGCAUAUUAUGAUGUUGCAUAUAGGGUGUUUAGAAACUUGUAUCUAUAUUUGCAUGCUAGUGGUAAUGUAGCUUGGUAGAUAUAACACUUGAAUCUAGUAUGCAUGAAGUUAGUAUGUGCACCUUAACCCUAUAUGAGAUAAUAUGUAACGGAUUGGAACCUAGGCAAAUGAUAACCUAGUGUUUGUGUUGUGUGAACGAAGAACCUAGUAAAGUGUGAACUAGAGUCUUGGAAACUUGUAAAGGACGAGUGGCAUCUAGUUAAUGUUAACCUAUGACGAGUGGCAUCUAGUUGAUAGCACAUAUGAGAACCUUAGUGUAGUUGAAACACUAGAAGGUUGAGUAUUAGAUUGGCAUUGAGUUGAUGAGUUGUUAACCCUAGAUAAUAGGGUGUUCCCAGUGGAUGACACUAUCCUUAGUUGAUAGGAUGUUCCCAGUUCAUGAGAUUGGAUCGAGCUCACAUAGCCUGUCUGCACCUGUGGAGGUCGCUCCUCACAGGUAGUGCACUCCGGAGUUUGGCACGCGAGGGGGCCAGUGUAGUUGCCCUUGGACCAGUGUAGUGUCCGCAGGCGGUCUCGGGGUAGGUGAAGAGCUAGCCACCUCCCUAGGAGAUUGAUACACGUGAGACAGUGUGCGAGCCUUGUGUUCGCUGAGAGAUUGGGUGAUCAGAUGAAUGACAUCGUUGUUGAACCUAGUAGCAUGGUAGCUAACCUUUACUAUGAGUUGCAUCGACAUUGAGCAUAGUCACUUGGUAGUUGGACUAGUGGAUUUGCCUACAUACAGUGAGUGGACAUACUAUUCCUUCACCUAUGAGAUUUGAGAGGGACAGCUUGUACCUAGUAGAGCGAGAUUGAGUCGGGCAAGGAGCGGGGUAGCUCUUUGCCUAGGACCUUUGAGAUUGAGUCGGGCGAGGAGCGGGGUAGCUCUUUGCCUAGGACUUUCGAGAUUGGGUCG
rnacentral:lncRNA from 1 species